rnacentral:lncRNA from 1 species
UUCUUUAUUCUUUAUUCUUUAUUCUUUAUUCUUUAUUCUUUAUUCUUUAUUCUUUAUUCUUUGCUAAGGGCACUCGCACCUUAGGCGCAUUAUACACAUUUGCCAUUCUUUAUAACAUUAACAAACGUUUCUCAAUUGUCAUUCUUUCUCAAUUGUCAUUCUUUCACAGGGUUACCUUUACCCUAGCCAACUAUGCCACUCGACUCGGUCUUGAGUCAAUUCAUAAUGAAUACAAGAUCCACUUUCCAAUUCAUGAUUCCUUUUUGUUCUUUGUUCUUUAAUCUCACGGCUAACCCGGGGGUUUCGCCACAUUAACUUGCUUCACAUUAAGUCCAUCAUCGCAGGAACUCACCAGCUAGGACCGUCCUUACGGGUCUACUCCAACCCGGAUGCCAAACUCCGGAGCGCAUCGCCCGAGGGGGAGCGACCGCCCUCGAGCACGGAACUCAUAGCAAGUAUGAUCAUAUCCUUAACUCAAAGGAUUUGUAGUUGAAUCAUGGCUUUACACUAACUUUAGUGUUCUUUACAUCACAUUAGUUGCUAACUCUAGCAAUCAUUGUUCUUUACACCCCACUUGUCAAUUACUCUAGUAAUUGUCAUUCUUGAUACCACACUUGUUCUUUUGUUGCCACACACUAACUCUAGUGUGCUUCAUGUCACAUUGGUUGCUAACUCUAGCCAUUAUCAUUGUUCUUUACACUUUGCUUGUUCUUUAUGCCACAUUACUUUACAUCGCCUUUAGCCAUUAUCAUUAUUCUUUACAUCACAUUGCUUUGCCUUGUCUCAAGCCAUUAUCAUUAGGUUCUCACAUUACAUCUCAUGCAUACACAUAGAUUAUUUAGAUUCUUAAUCAUUCUAAUAAGCACGUGUACUCACAUCAUGCAACAUUACAUUAUUAUCAUCACAUUGUUUUACAUUAUCUUUAGCCAUUAUCAUUAUUCUUUACAUCACAUUUAUUCUUUGUUGUCCCACACUAACUCUAGUGUCCACUUUACCAUUUCGAAUGCCACUCGAUCUAUGUUCAACAUGCAUAUAUUUUGUCAUCCAUUGGUAGUCAUUACUUAGCAUUUUAUGCAUUCGUUAACAUUUACUACAUGCAUUCUCGGUUAGUACAAAUCUCAUACUUUCAUUUGACAUCUAUUUAGCAUUUCUAUAAUAUGCACAUGUAAAUUAACAUCAACUCAUGCAUUCAUUUGGCAUCUAUCUUUAUCAUGCAUUCUUAAAUAGCAUACUUUAUCAUGCAUUCUCAAAUAGCAUACUUUAUCAUGCAUCAAUAGUAAACAUACUACACUUUGGCAUGGAAAGCGACCUAAUCGCUUCGGUGAGCACAACCCACCUCAAAACGCUUUCCGAUUGCUUGUCGACACUUGCAAUCGGCCUCCCGCGGCACCCGUAACCCGGUUUGGCCCGAACUCUUGCGCGACCACCCGAACGGCCACCAAUUCGCGAUCCGUCUGUUCGGGAGUUUAUUCCCCGACACCACGAUGCUCCCGAUCCAUUCUCAUGAUUUUUGGAGGCUUAUCCCGCGUGCUGCGGCUAUCUGUACCAAAACAGAUUGUUUCGUCAAUAACUUUGCGUACACUCGUCGGAUUGUCGAACCGAGCGCACCAACGCGUUCGUUAUACCCCCAAUUAGGUUUAUAGAGGGUCAAUUGAGAUCAAACUCAACUAUUUACAAAAACCCUCUUUAGGAGCCCUAAUAUGCAACUAUUGCAAAAUCCACCAUUUCAUCUCAUGAAUCAAGCAUAAACCAUCUAUUUAGCAUGCUAGGAUUCCAUUAAAAUCAUCUUUAGAGUAUAAGAACUUAACCCUAAAGAUCUACCAUUAGAGAGCAUAAGGCUUACCUCUCUAAGCUUGCUCCCAUGGCUCAAGGAAGGAGAUGAAGAUGAAGCUCCAUCUUCUUGGCCUCUUCUCCUUCAUCUUCUUCUUUUUCUUCUCUUUCUUUCUCUUCUUCUCCUUCUUUUCUUUCUAGAGAGAGAGAGGGAGAGGUUUUGGUGUGGGAGAGUGAGAGAAAUGAGAGAAAGAGAGAAAGGGUCCUCUCUAUACACUCUCAUAAGUGCCAUUUUGCACUUAAGCCCCUCCACAAUGCUUCCCUCGCAACAGCCCAAACUGGGCAUUUUCGGGCUUCGGGGACCGGUCCUUGCGAUGAGAGACCGGUCCCUGAGAGACCGGUCCUUGGCUGAGAGACCGGUCCCCGAAGGUCCAGAAAUCAGCCUUCAAGGACUUAGCCAAAUUUUCCGCUUUUUCAUCGUUUUAGCUCCGUUUUCGCUCGUUUUUGCUCGUUUGACCUCCGAUUCAUUUCAAAUCGAACCGAGACUCUCCAAACAUGUUUUCGAACAUAUUUUCAUCAUCUUUUCACCCACGCUAAUGCCGGAUUUAACUCACGGUUCAACAUAGCCUUUCGGCUCCGUUUUCGCGCCCUAUGCGCACCGAAGCACCCGAAUGCUCCCGAACUUCGCCGGGACGAUUCCAAUGGCUUUCUAAGCUAACUUACAUCGUAACUUCGUGAAUUUAGAAGUUCGGUAUAUUACAUUCUCCACCCCUUAAAAGAAUUUCGUCCGCGAAAUUCAAACACAACUCGAUUCAGCUCCUCGAGCAAUUGAGGGCACCAAUACACUUUCCACUUCGGAAUGGCUUUACACUCCUUGGAACUAUCCAAAAGGACUACCACGGAGUUCAUGAUACUAAAUGCAUCCAAAUUUGCAAGGCGCAUCUCACAAAGUGCAUUAGGGUAUCCAUCACUCUUGGUGGCGGCGCAAGUCGAAACUCAACGACUCCACGCGCUCCAAUACCACUUGUCACUUGGCAUACAAGAACUCUUCUUCGCAUUUACUUUCCCCUCAGGGAAUACACUCCGAUUCUAUCUCCAACAUUGCUUAAAAGCAACAUCACUAGUGCAUCGCUUCACCGCGAGUGCUUUAAUUCCGCACCGAUCUUUAGCUCUAACAUGAGCCACCUCGGCACAUCCCAAAUCCAAUCCUCAAACUCCACGUGGCUUCUCACAAGUUCAAGGUCUCACCACGAGCACUUCAUCUUCUGAUACCAUAUGCCACGGCCAACGUCUUAUUACUUUCGCAAAGAGCUCACAUGAACACGUUAUUUGUGAACUCAAAUCAAACUCCCCGAUAAGGCUAUUCGCCAAAUCACUUUCCUCGACUUUCCACAGGUGGGCCAAAGGCCACCCAUACUACGUAGGCCUACAGCCUAAACCCGUCUCAAUACUCGACGUCCCUCGCUCGCAAGCGUAGACCCAAUCAUCGUUGGGGCGAAAUUCUCACUGGGAAAUUCGCACACACUCCAACCAGGAGCAACUAAAAUCCCAAACCGUUACAGAUUCCCGGGUUGGGUCACACUCGCACUCUCAGUAUACUAUCAAUCGCACUAUACGCUCUAUAGCACAAUACGUACCACUAUCAGCUCCUUUGCACCUAGUGCGAGCCACCAGCCCCACGAGUGAUCCGUGGCACGCUUCACACCUAGCAAUGCUCAGGUGCUACUGCCAACACACUCAUCCGGCUGAACUAAAUCCGCACUCCACGAGUAACUAUACUCGAGCGCUAUAUGCGCCUCUAUAGCAUUCCAACUAUGUCAAGCAUCAGGCAACUUUGCCUAUGCACACCGGCCACACGAGCACGACUCACCCACCUCAAUUCGAGAUACUACUAGGCCAACGCGCCCGUAUUUGGCAGCCAAUCGCUCUACCGGAGCAACAUCUAGAACACUCAAACCAUUCGAGUGUCCACAAGUGUCAUGACACAACUCUUGCAAUCAAUUACAUACAUUGCUCUGCAAGUUGGUUCGUCAUUUCCACCUCUACUACAAGUCUCAUCAUUAGACCAUCACUAGCAACUCGCUAGUACCAUCCAGUUCUCUACCUGCACCGGCAGGUGCAACGCUCUCACCACAUAAGCGUGCCCGGGUACUUACAUUUAUCCGCGCACUUGGAUCCUACUAUGCUACUACAUAAAUAGUAGUAAUUAAUUACAUGCUCAAUGCAUGCAAUGCACCAACUUUACAUUAUGCAGAAACACAUGACUGCAUUAAUGGCUCAUACCUGCCAUGACGUUGUCAGCAGCAGGUUCCAUAUCCCGGACAUAGUUCACGAUAGGGAGAAUUCCCGUUCGUACUCUCUAACUGAGCGGUCUCCUUGCCGCAGCUUCCUGAACUUGUCCUGAAGCUUUCUCUUUUCACUGUCGGGGGAAGUCAGUAGAAGAUACCAAUCCCCGAAACUCAUCCCAUGCCAUGGAGGAAUACUAGGUGAUCGGUUCCGCCGAAUGCCUUUCCACCACGCCUUAGCCGACUGUUUCAAACAAUACACGACUAGGGGUACCCUGUCCAGCUCCAAGGUAGACAGCUCCUCGAAAAGCGUUUCCACAGAGUCAAUCCACGUAUCCACAAUCCACGAAUCGACAUUCUCUCCAUCGAAGAUAGGUGGAUCAAACUUUAUGAAGGUCAUGAGGGCUGCCAAAGCCCGCUCUUUCUCAUUCUUUUCCUUUCCUUCCUCUCUCUUUCUUUGUCCUCUAGAGAGAGAAAGAGAAGUGAGAGAGUGUGAGGGUGAGGAUGAGAAAAUAUCUCAUUCACCCAUCAUACUCAGCCUAUUCAUUGCAAAAUUGCAACUAAGUCUCUCAACUUUUAUUUCACAACACUGCCCAAACUGGGCAGACUUCGGGCUCUGAGACCGGUCUCCCCGACCAUGGGACCGGUUCCUGAGAGCUCUCCCCGCGGCAGCAGAGCUCGUGCGCAAUGCAACCGCUCUCCCCUGGUGAGACCGGUCUCUCGGGGACCGGUCUGUCCCCUUGGGACCGGUUCCCGAGAGCUGCGUUUCCAAGACUUAGCCAAAUCUUCAGUUCCCAGACUCCACACGCGCUCGGGGACCGGUCUCCCCGACUUGGGACCGGUCCCUGAGAGCUGAAAACCUGCAGCUUUGCAGAUUUUCAAUUCCAACGCUCUCGAAGACCUCUCCGAGGCACUUUUACUCAUUUUGACGUCCUCGGCCUCUCCGAAGCACACCCAUUUCAUACUUUGGUCACUUUGACUAAAGUUCGAUAUUUCGACCACCGAGUUUCGAUAUAUUACAUCUACAAUUUUUUUUUUGGAGUCUCUUAAUUCCCUCCCCUUGGUGCAUAGCAGCCUCUUGCGGCCGCUGCACCACAUCAGCUUGUUGCCUCACCACACCCACAAGCGUGGCCAACUGUUCGCGAAGUUCCAAGUCUCCGCGCGCCUCGGAUUGCUCAGGGACAUCACUUGUCCCACCCCGCGUCGAUCUAAACGAAGAUCGCCUACGCGGUGCCAUCGUUACCUAGAACAUGACAACUCAACUAACUCUCAACCUUCUAGGUCGAGUAUGAAACAAUUGACACCAACUCAAAUCGGGCGAAAGUCAUACAAGGGCAUCUAUUCUCAUCACUCGGUUUCAUGUUGUACGCGUCCAACAUGAACACCCUCGGUUGAGAAUAGACAACACCUUGGAUCUACCUCUAAUCUCCUUUUUAGAGGUUUACAACACAACCCAAUCCCUUAACCUUUCGCCAAAAGUCAUAAGUCCUCGUCUCUCACGAGCCUUAAUCUCCUAUGGUUUACUAUCCUAGGGUCUCCUAGGUUCAUCUAAACCACUUUUCCAUUCUCUACUUUAUGCUCUGAUACCAUCUUAUCUGUCACGCCCCGAGCCCGCCUCUUUGGUCGGAUUCGGGCACGCCAACAGACCGCCGAACGGACAGGGUUUCCCCUACACGCGGACAGAGUCUCCCCUGUACGUUCAAGGCGUCGCAAUCAAUACAAUUACAAGAGGUUCCAAACAGGAACAAUUUUCAACAACGAUUGCAUAAGGAAGGUAUCAAACAACAUAACACAUCCUAUAUUAUUACAAUCAUUCAUCUCAUCAUUUUACAUCGCAUUUUUCAUUACAUUGAUUCUCAACUUCCAAAUAUACAAUCGAUUUCUUUUCUUUUCUUUUCUUAUACCCCUAAGGAGCCGACUCAGGGUACUGCUAUCUGGUCUCUGUGGUAGGGCGCUAACUACGGAGCUACGCCCUUUCCUCGCGCCGCCGCGCCGCUCGCGUGUGAACCUGUACCCCCAAAAACAACAACACGGAGGUGAGACUAUUGUCCAUAGUCGUCAGUGGGUACAGCCACCCAAGGGAAGAGCUCAACCCACCAGGUCCAAAGGAGGCACUGCAACAUGUUAGUCCAACAGAUAUAUACAUAUAACAUCAUGCAAUACAUGUUCAUGCCUCACAAAUAUGCAAAUUAUGCAACUCUUAGUCAUUCUUUACCAUUAGCCUUUCUUUAGAAUAUGCAAUUCUUUAUCAUUAGCCAUUCUUUAUUCUUUAUUCUUUGCUAAGGGCACUCGCACCUUAGGCCCAUUAUACACAUUUGCCAUUCUUUAUAACAUUAACAAACGUUUCUCAAUUGUCAUUCUUACUCAAUUGUCAUUCUUUCACAGGGUUACCUUUACCCUAGCCAGCUAUGCCACUCGACUCGGUCUUGAGUCAAUUCAUAAUGAAUACAAGAUCCACUUUCCAAUCCAUGAUUCCUUUUUGUUCUUUGUUCUUUAAUCUCACGGCUAACCCGGGGGUUUCGCCACAUUAACUUGCUUCACAUUAAGUCCAUCAUCGCAGGAACUCACCAGCUAGGACCGUCCUUCGGGUUUACUCCAACCCGUGAUGCAAAACUCCGGAGCGCAUCGCCCGAGGGGGAGCGACCGCCCUCGAGCACGGAACUCAUAGCAAGUAUGAUCAUAUCCUUAACUCAAAGGAUUUGUAGUUGAAUCAUGGCUUUACACUAACUUUAGUGUUCUUUACAUCACAUUAGUUGCUAACUCUAGCAAUCAUUGUUCUUUACACCCAACUUGUCAAUUACUCUAGUAAUUGUCAUUCUUGAUACCACACUUGUUCUUUUGUUGCCUCACACUAACUCUAGUGUGCUUCAUGUCACAUUGGUUGCUAACUCUAGCCAUUAUCAUCGUUCUUUACACUUUGCUUGUUCUUUAUGCCACAUUACUUUACAUCGCCUCAAGCCAUUAUCAUUAUUCUUUACAUCACAUUGCUUUGCCUUGUCUCAAGCCAUUAUCAUUAGGUUCUCACAUUACAUCUCCUGCAUACACAUAGAUUAUUUAGAUUCUUAAUCAUUCUAAUAAGCACGUGUACUCACAUCAUGCAACAUUACAUUAUUAUCAUCACAUUGUUUUACAUUAUCUUUAGCCAUUAUCAUUAUUCUUUACAUCACAUUUAUUCUUUGUUGUGCCACACUAACUCUAGUGUCCACUUUACCAUUUCGAAUGCCACUCGAUCUAUGUUCAACAUGCAUAUAUUUUGUCAUCCAUUGGUAGUCAUUACUUAGCAUUUUAUGUAUUCGUUAACAUUUACUACAUGCAUUCUCGGUUAGUACAAAUCUCAUACUUUCAUUUGACAUCUAUUUAGCAUUUCUAUAAUAUGCACAUGUAAAUUAACAUCAACUCAUGCAUUCAUUUGGCAUCUAUCUUUAUCAUGCAUUCUUAAAUAGCAUACUUUAUCAUGCAUUCUCAAAUAGCAUAUUUUAUCAUGCAUCAAUAGUAAACAUACUACACUUUGGCAUGGAAAGCGACCUAAUCGCUUCGGUGAGCACAACCCACCUCAAAACGCUUUCUGAUUGCUUGUCGACACUUGCAAUCGGCCUCCCGCGGCACUCGUAGCCCGGUUUGGCCCGAACUCUUGCGCGACCACCCGAACGACCACCAAUUCGCGAUCCGUCUAUUCGGGAGUUUAUUCCCCGACACCACGAUGCUCCCGAUCCAUUCUCAUGAUUUUUGGAGGCUUAUCCCGCGUGCUGCGGCUAUCUGUACCAAAACAGAUUGUUUCGUCAAUAACUUCGCGUACACUCGUCGGAUUGUCGAACCGAGCGCACCAACGCGUUCGUUUGGUCCCCAAUUAGGUUUAUAGAGGGUCAAUUGAGAUCAAACCCAACUAUUUACAAAAACCCUCUUUAGGAGCCCUAAUAUGCAACUAUUGCAAAAUCCACCAUUUCAUCUCAUGAAUCAAGCAUAAACCAUCUAUUUAGCAUGCUAGGAUUCCAUUAAAAUCAUCUUUAGAGUAUAAGAACUUAACCCUAAAGAUCUACCAUUAGAGAGCAUAAGGCUUACCUCUCUAAGCUUGCUCCCAUGGCUCAAGGAAGGAGAUGAAGAUGAAGCUCCAUCUUCUUGGCCUCUUCUCCUUCAUCUUCUUCUUUUUCUUCUCUUUCUUUCUCUUCUUCUCCUUUUCUUUCUAGAGAGAGAGAGGGAGAGGUUUUGGUGUGGGAGAGUGAGAGAAAUGAGAGAAAGAGAGAAAGGGUCCUCUCUAUACACUCUCAUAAGUGCCAUUUUGCACUUAAGCCCCUCCACAAUGCUUCCCUCGCAACAGCCCAAACUGGGCAUUUUCGGGCUUCGGGGACCGGUCCUUGCGAUGAGAGACCGGUCCCUGAGAGACCGGUCCUUGGCUGAGAGACCGGUCCCCGAAGGUCCAGAAAUCAGCCUUCAAGGACUUAGCCAAAUUUUCAGCUUUUUCACCGUUUUAGCUCCGUUUUCGCUCGUUUUUGCUCGUUUGACCUCCGAUUCAUUUCAAAUCGAACCGAGACUCUCCAAACAUGUUUUCGAACAUAUUUUCAUCAUCUUUUCACCCACGCUAAUGCCGGAUUUAACUCACGGUUCAACAUAGCCUUUCGGCUCCGUUUUCGCGCCCUAUGCGCACCGAAGCACCCGAAUGCUCCCGAACUUCGCCGGGACGAUUCCAAUGGCUUUCUAAGCUAACUUACAUCGUAACUUCGUGAAUUUAGAAGUUCGGUAUAUUACAUAUCCGUUUUCACUACAUUCGAGACAUGAUUAAAUGAGAGGAGGUCGUUCUUAGAUAUAUCUCUACUACUAGGAUGGUGGUCGAUCUAUUGACCAAGCCGAUAGCCAGAGAUAUGUUCCCGACCCAAGUUAGGAGUUUCGGUCUUCACAGGUUUUGAUGGACUUUAUUUUGUAUCUUACGCUUUCUUAAUGAAAAUAUAUUUUUCUUCUUUUAAUGUGAUUGCGUAAUUGAUACUAGUAGGCACAUAUUCGAUAAGUCACCACGCUUAGAUCAGCCCGCUCACACGGGCGAUCGCCCUGACACCUAGGUGGUGAGCAGGAUGAGACUAGAUGAUCAUAUUAAAUUUGAGUAGUUGUAAUAUGAUUGCGUUGUUCAUAUACGUUAAUGAAUAAAGUGUUGACAUAAUUUAAAAGUCGCCUUAAUUAGCUUAAAAUGAGACUCUAAAGAGUUCGACAUGAAAGUUUUUCUGUGAAAUUUGAUCUCGAGCCUGUAUAGUAGCUGAACCUAAGUGCUCAGGUUAGAGAGAUGACUUGAGUUAUGUGAUGGUUAGAUACCUUAGUGGUACUAAGACUAAGGUUCAUAUGGCGGUUUUAGAGCAUGACAUGACCCAUUGAGUGGGAGCUCCGCCGUAGCAUACAUAUCAUACUAUAUGUGCUUGUUGACCAGUCAGUAGAGUGACAUAAGUUCUUCCCUCUAUGUCACUGUGUGAGCACUAACCUUUUUAUGCCCUCGACUUAGAACUACGUUAUGAAAUGGAGGUCCAAAGUAACUAACCUAGUGUGUAUCUCAGGGUCAUAAGAAAAUAUGAUCUCACGGAGCAUGUCUAGUAAAGUGUUUGAAUCGAUACAGAUUAACAUGAGGGGUUGAGGAAGAUAUUUUGAUAACACACCACGUAAGUCUUGUGACUCAUUGCCCGGGCGGUUAUCUCGGUUGUGUUACUUGAGAUAAUCAUGAGUACAAAAAAUAACUAUUGGGUCGAGCCCUCUCAUUACAGGAGAGGGACUUUGUGAUGUUUGAUCCGGUGUGUGUUGAAACGUCUAGGGUAUAGGCGAAUUAAGUCAGUGAUGUGCUAUAUUAGUUAGGUGGUGACUUAAUAUAGCGCUCUUGCAUGUGUUACUUUCGUCAGGUCGCACGCUCUAUUACCCAUAUGAAGAGAAGAAUGAGUGAGAGAGAAUUGGCCAAUGUGGCUGUAAGAAAGUGGAUCCUCGUCGUAUUAAACCACUUUUGGUCAAAAAGACCAAAGCGUGGCGAGAAGAAUGUUUGGACAUGGUCCAUUUAACAUUCCAACUAUGUUGGAAGGGUUAAAGUUGAAUUUAAAGAGAGAUUAAAAGGUUUUAGCAUUUAUCGGAGUGAAACAAUGCAAAACUGCAGUCUGGAGCAUUGUUAACCGGCGAAGCUUAGAAGAGUAUCGGUACCAGGCUGGCACCCGAGAGAAGCAGCUCUCGGGUUUGCCUCUGUUAAGGCUGUUAAUCGGUGACUGUCCUGGUGCGUACCGGUACCCCGCUGCGACCCGAGAAACAGCAGCUCUUGGGUUGGGCUGUUGAACAGGGGGCGUACCGGUGACGCCAACCCGCGUAUCGGUACGCAGUGCCCGAAACAGCAGGUUAAGUCUACUGCAAAUAAAAGAAAAUGAAAGGCUUUGUUGCAAUUGUAACAGCCUAUAUAAGGUCCCACACCCCUUUUUUCUCUCUCACAGCCAGAAAUACCCUCUCUUCUCUCAUUUCUCUCCCUCUCUCUCUCUAGGAGCUCUUCCCCAAGGUGAAAGAAAGAGAUUGGAGGAGAUCUAGAGGAGAUUUUUGGAGCUUUUGGAGGAUUUAGAGCUCUCCUACAAGGUGGAGCUUGUUGAGUUUAUAGGCUAAGGUGAGGUUUCUUGUAAGAAUUAGGCUAGGGCUUGGUUUUAUGCCUUAAAUCUUUGGUUUUGAUAUUCUUACAUGGAAAGGAACCUCGUAGAGACCAAGAAAUCUCAUGAACUCUAUGUUUGUUCAUAGUGCUCUCAUGGUGGAUUUCUAGGGUUAGGUUUAUAUACUCUAGAAAUGAUUUUAAUGGAACCCUGGGAUGCUAAAUAGAUGAAUAUUGUUUGAAUCACAAGGUUGUAUGAUGAUUUCUUGCAAGAUUGAGUAUUAGGAUUCAAAAAGGGGGUUUUUGCAAAUAUUAGGAUUUGAUCUAAAUUAACCCUAUACAAACCAAAUUGCUAGGUUUUCUGGCGCGUUGGUGGCUUCGGUUCGGCAAUCCGACGAGGCUACGCGAAGAUAUUGGCGAAAAGGACUGUUUUGGCUUCGUCUCCGCCUGGGAGGCCGAGGCGGCGUCCAAAAAUCACGAAAUCGGAUUCCCAGCAUCGAGGCAUCGCCUAGAGGUGGGGGGUGCUAUCCGAAGCCAUCGAGCUUCCUUCUAAGUCUAUGUUUGCAUUGUCGACCAUGUGAUUUUCAUAUUACUAUGCAUUGUAGGAUUGUGAUAGUGGUAUUACCUAUUCCUUAUAUGUUUCCAUAGUUAAUAUUGCAUUGUGAGGUGGAUACAUGAUGUAGUGGGUAUGUAAGGAUUGGGUCUGGACAUUGGAAUCCUAUAGUGCCAAAAUAAGUGAUGAAUGACAUAACGAGUGGCAUGUAAAUAGACGAAAACAUGGACGAGUGGCAUGUGGACAUAGUGUAGAUGAGACACUUGAACUUGAACAUAGGGAUGGUUGAAUUCCCGAGUUGUUGUUAGCCUUAAAGGCAGGGUGACCUCAGUGGACGAGGACUGGACCAUACUCACAUAGUCUGUUUUGAGCUUGGCGUGGUCGCUCCACCCAAGUAGUGCACUCCGGAGUUGUCACACGAGGGACAGACGUAGUUGUCCCGCAGGCGGUCUUGGGUGGGAUGUUGCGGCGGAAGCUCCUCACCUAUGGGAGAUUUGAGAUGUGAGUCGGGGCAAACCUUCGGGUCAGCCAAGUGAUUGGGUGAACAUAUGAAUGGCAAGUUUGUUGACAUAGUGGCAUGAUAGUUGACAUCAUUACGAUAUAUUUCAUGCAUUCAUAUUGCUUGAAGCAUAGUAGAAUAAUUGUAGAAUUUAUACUAUGUAGCAGUUCUUUAUCAUAUCUAUCUAUCUAUCUAUCUACUUAUGCUUGCUUAGACCUAGUGUGAGGAUCGGCAGAGUCGGCGGCCGAACCCACUGGGAACUAUGGACAAUAGUUCUCACCCUAUGUGGUUUUGGGGUACAGGUACUUGCGAGAGCGGACCGACAGAUGAUCGUGGUAAGGGCUUAGUGCCCUAGUAGCUUGCAGCUUUCCCUUUUUGCAUUAAUGUACCGUCGUGUACAUGGAUGUAUCUAGAUGUAUGGUUGGAGAGUUACUUAUGUAUUUUGAAGAUGAAUAUGUAAACCCUUAUGUAUACAUUUUGGGAGGUGAAACUGUAAUAGUUAGAACUCUUUCUCUUUGCUCUCUUGUAUACUCUUGUAUGACUACUCGCUUGUAUGUCUACUUGCUUAGAUUGUGUAUUUUGUUUAAGUUUUUCCUGGGCAAACUGUAUGUACAUGAUCUUGUUGUUUAGCCUUGGGCGGGCAGGGGAGGCUCUGCCCGUUCAGCGUUUGUUUGAUGAGCCCGAACCGACCAAAAUGGCGGUUGUGGGGCGUGACAUAUAAAGUGGUAUCAGAGCAAGUAAGAGCAAGUAAAGAGAGAUGUCUAAGACGGACCUAGGAGACCCUAGGAUGGUAAACUUAAGGCUAUAGGUACGUGAGUGGAAUGUGGGCCUAUGCCGGUGGCGGAAGUGGAUUCGAUUGGAUUAAAGUUGUAGUAUGUUUCUAGUAGUUGCUAGAGACGAAUUCGAGUGGUAUUAGUUCUCGACGCGAGGUGGUUAUGUUGGCGGCCGACAACAUGACGCUAAGAGUUUAGAAUGAGUACACUUGGGUGCUUCCGCCUAAUUUGCAACGUUAUGUCGUUUUGUUUCGUAGUCGCAAAGAAAUUGACAGGUUAAGGUGAUUAACCAAAAUGUUGCGUUUCAGGAGCUAUGGCACCUAGAGGACGCCCCCGGACGCGAUCUGCUCCGGCACCACCUUCCGAGGUGCCCGAGUAGUCUGGAUCCGAUGAAGUGCGGGAACUGCGGGCACAGAUUGCUACAAUGGUCGGCGCGAUGCAGCGCCAAGAGGAUCGAAUAGCAAGGCUGCAGGAGCUUGUAGCGCAGCAGGUGUAUGUUGAGCAACCCGCGCCUCCUGUCGUUGCGCCUGUCGUGACUGAGGGUGUGGCCACGGCGGCCGUGCUGGUUGCAGUGAGGGCCACGCCGGUGAUGGUAGCUACGGGUUCGGGAACUUCAAAUCCCGAUGGUGCGGCGUUGGAAGCGGAGAGGGAGCACACACUUGAUGCCCUCGUGACAUUCCGAAAGUUUGAUCCACCGGUCUUCGACGGGGAGAAGGUCGAGCCAUGGAUGGUCGAGUCGUGGGUUGACUCGAUGGAGACUCUAUUCGAAGAUCUCUAUACGUUGGAAAAGGACAAAGUCCACCUCACUACUCAUUACUUGGAGCGAACGACGAAGGUGUGGUGGAAGCGAGUCAAGCGGGACCGGUCUUCUGACAUUCCGCCACUGACGUGGGAGGAGUUUUCGGGGUUCCUUAUUAGUUAAGAAACGUAUCGCCUAGUGGAUAUCUAUUGUGGAUAUCCUAAUUCUAAUCUCUAUGUGAGAUUCAGGAUAUUUUAAGGGGUUCCAUUAUUCUAUAAAUACGUCCCUUUUUCUCUCUCGUAUCAUACGAUCUAAUUCGAUCUAAGAGAAUCCACAAUUAAUCUUCUUUCUUUUCUAAGAUUUCCACCUACGUUCGUGGGGUUUUGGAGUGUGAACAUAGAAAAGAACUCUGGUAGCCUUCUUCGAUUGACAUCCGUGUCAUCCUAUUUGCACCCCAUUUAUGUCCGACGCAUCUAAUCCGUGACACGAAGCAUAGGCAUCGAGACCAGGGCGAUCCAAGCAGGCUAGUAAAACAAGCAAUUCGAUUCCGGUUCCUGAAUAUGUUGGCUAUCCAGUUCGUAAGUUUCUGCUGCCCUCGAAUUUCCUACAAGAUAUAAUGUAACGACCCAGCCCACUAGUAACAAUAACUCGUUGGGCCCAACAACCGGCCCAAAAUGCUUAAGCCCAGUUAUUAUUACUAGUGUCUAAGUCUCUUAUAAACCCAAUGACAACCCCAUUCCCAUCCGAUGUGGGACUAUUGGGGUGUCACAGACUCCCCCGGUUAAGGCCCUGACGUCCUCGUCAGUCCAANNNNNNNNNNNNNNNNNNNNNNNNNNNNNNNNNNNNNNNNNNNNNNNNNNNNNNNNNNNNNNNNNNNNNNNNNNNNNNNNNNNNNNNNNNNNNNNNNNNNCUGGUGGUAACCUGACUGGAGAUCAAUCUUCGAGAAGACAUAAGAUCCCUGCAGCUGAUCAAACAAAUCAUCAAUGCGCGGCAAGGGAUACUUAUUCUUGAUGGUCACUUUAUUCAGCUCCCGGUAAUCCAAAUACAGCCUAAGUGAACCAUCCUUCUUCUUAACAAAUAACACCGGCGCUCCCUAAGGCGAAACACUGGGUCUCACAAACCCUCUAUCCAUCAAGUCCUGAAGCUGUGCCUUAGCUCUAUCAGCUCUGCCGGCGCCAUCCGAUAAGGUACCUUUGAGAUUGGUGCAGUUCCAGGAACUACAUCAAUCACAAACUCAAUCUCCCUCUCCGGCAGCAACGUCGUCAACUCAGGGAGAAACACAUCCGAAAACUCGCGGACUACUGGGAUGUCCUCAAGUCCCGGCGCCGCCGUAGGUACCUUCACAACUGUCGCUAGGAAAGCGAUACACCCACUGCUCAGCAUCUGUCGAGCCCUCGCCGAAGAUAUCCAAAUAGCAAACAGCGUGCUCCUACAGCCUCUAAAAGUGAACUCCUCCUGGCCUGGCUCGCGGAAUGUCACCGUCCUCGCUCCACAGUCGAUCGUAGCAUAGUACCGCACCAGCCAAUCCAUACCGAGCACAACGUCGAAGUCCUGCAGCUACCCUAAAAUCAACAAGUCUACGGGCAUGAUCCACAAAUCCAACUGCACUGGACACGACCAACAACACCCCAUGACCUGCAAGACAUGGUCUGGGAUCUGCACCUCUCGUGCCUGAGACAAUGCUCCUAACUCUAGACCAUGUAACUGUGCAAAUGCUCGGCUAACAAAGGAAUGCGAUGCACCGGUAUCAAAAAGAGCACGUGUAACAUACCGAACUUCUAAAAUCAUGAAGUCACGGUGUACAUUUAGAUGGUUCCGGUAAGGUUGCGGUGGAAUGUAACGUACCGGAUUUUAAAUAGAAAAGUGAAAAUAAAUAAAAAUAGUAUGAGAUACUAUUUUAUCGGAUUUAGAGAAGCGAAAUAUAGGUUGGGAAUGACCUGUGCUGAAAUCGGAGCGAAAACAGAAGAUUUAGAAUUUUCUGGGAGAAACGGGGCAGAUAAAUUAGCAGAAAAUGCACAGUCUCAGAAAAUUAUGAAAAUUGGCGGGGAUGCCAGAAAUAUUUUUAUGAGGCUAGAUUUAAAGUUUCAUACCAUUCUGACACCUGUAGAGAGAGAAAUCGAAUCCGAAAGCUACCUGAUAAAGAUUGCAGUUCGGUACAGUUUUCGGUGACCAAACGGGGUCGAAACUGAAAUAUUAAAAUUUCUUUGGACUUAUUAAGUAAAACCGAGCGUGCCUGUCAAAUUUGAGCGAAAACGGACAUCCAGAAGGGCUCCGGCGAAAAAUAAACUGCCCGAAGUGAAUAGUGCAUAGUUGAGGGGCAAAAUGGUAAAAAGGGUUUAAAACCCCUUUUCUUCUUCUCCUCCCAACCGAGGCUGCCCCAACCGCACACACACACACAUACGAAAACACACACGCAUGGAAGAAAGGAGAGAAAUCUCUUUCUCUCUCUAGAUUUUUCCCAAAAUGGAUGGAGUCGGUGGAGAUUGAAGCUUGGAGGUGGAUCGCCCUCGUCCGCUUCAUCUUCUCCAUCGUUUGAAGCAAGUUUUGAGGUAAGCUUUUGCUACCCUUUAAUGGUAGAUCUCCAAAGCUUUAUUUAUAAUUCAUAGAAAUGGAUUUAUUGGAAUCCUAUGAUGCUAAAUAGGUGAUUGUUGCUUAAGUUAUGGAUCAAUUUAGUGAAUUUUGCAAUACUUGAAACCUAGGGCUCCAAAAUGCAAAUUUUGCUAAGAGAUGGGUUUGAUCUAAAUUAACCCUCCGUAAACCUAAUUGCUAGGUAAACAAACACGCUGGCGAAGACGGUUCGGCAAUCCGACGAGCCGUUGCGAAGUUAUUAAAGAAACGGACGUUAGGCUUCGUUUCCGCCGGGAGGGCCGAGGCGACGUCGUAAAAUCCUGGAAACGGAUUUGAAGCACCGUAGCAGCAAAACAAAGACCCUUUUUACCCGGAACUGCAAAGCGAUGCGCGGUUGGUGAGCAAUUUCGAGUUCGGGCCGAACCGGGCACCGGGUGCCGCGGGAGGCCGAUUGCAAGUGUCGACAAGCAAUCGGAACGCGUGUUAAGGUGGGUUGUGCUUACCGAAGCGACUAGGUCGCCUUUAUGUCUAAGCAAGUUAAGAAUUCGUGUUGAUGCAUAUAAGUGCGAAAUAAUGCAUGAUAAUAGUGUAAUGCAUGAUAAUUAUGCAUGUUAAUGUAAGUGCUAAGUAGAAAUGCAUAGUGAGCAAUUUACAUAAUGCUAGUAAUGCAUGAUAAUAAUGUAAAGCAUGAUAAUAGUAAUAUGAUGCAAAUGCUGAGUAGGUGCAUAUAAAAUGAUAUGUGAGAUUAUAAAUGCAUGAAUAGCAUUGUGAGAUUAUAAAGGGCAUGAUUAGCAUUGUGAGAUUAUAUAUGCAUGUGAACUUGGUUGAUAACUCCAAAUUGCGUAGAGAACAUGGCAUUGGAAAUAAGAAAGCAUUGUGAGAUUAUAUAUGCAUGUGAACUUGGUGGAUAACUCCAGAUUGCGUAGAGAACAUGACGUUGGAAAUAAGAACGUGAAAACCAUAGACUACUCGAUGGACAACUAGGGUGUCAAAUAGAUCGAGUGGCAUCUAACUUAGUGUUAAAGAACAUAGGUCGUGAGUAGACCUAGAAUCAAAUAGAUCGAGUGGCAUCUAACCUAGUGUUAGUAAACAUAGGUUAAACAGGAAUGAUAUCGAACCUAGUGUAAUUAACAUAGGUCGAAUAUGAACCUAGGAUUGAGAACCUAGGAUGAAUAAGAUUGAUGUUGAACCUAGUGUCGUGAACCUAGGCUAGAUCGAGUGGCAUUAACCUAGCGUCAUGAACAUAGGUUGACAUUGAUUCUAGUGUUGUUGAACCUAGGGUUAAUAAAAACCUAGGUAGAGAGGUAUUAACCUAGUUUAAAGAACAUUGGUUAUGUGAUAAGGGCGUUAAACCUAGAGUCGGGUAGACCUAGGAUGGAAAGUGCAUUGGACCUAGAUAGGUCGAUAUCAUAGGGUUUGAGAUUACCCUAGAGGCUUGGGAAAUAGAUUCCGGAAUCUUAGGAUUGUGAACUCGACAGUUCUAGAGCAGUGGGUUGAGUGUGACAGGUUCCCCUCCCACUGGACGAACUUCGAGGAUGAGCUGUUGACUGAAUCGAGGCCGCGGGUCGAGUGUGGCAGGUUCCCCCUCCCGCCGGCAGAAUCGUGCUUCGCUAGGGUUGAGUGUGGCAUGUUCCCCUUCCCUAUCGGGGGUCUUGGGCCGCGGGUUGAGUUUGUGGCAUAAUCCCCUUCCCACCGGAAAGAUCCCUGACCACGGGUGUACGCAGCUCUGGGCGACCCGUUGGGCGACUUGAUUAUGGAUUGAAGGCUAAGGUGUAAGUGAGAGGUCCUUCACCUUGAGCCGGACAGAGCGCGGACUAUCCGCAGAUGAUUGACUCAAGACCGAGUCGGGUGGCAUAGUGUGAUUAAGGUAAGAGCAACCUUAAGAAAGAAUUUGCCAAUGAGUAUAGUGGGCCCAAGUGUAAGGUGUAGAGCACCAAGUACAAGUACAAAGAAUAAAGAGCAAAGAAAGAAAAAGAAAAUGAAAGAUAAUGAAAAGGCUAAUGCUAAGGAAUAGCUAGUAAUUGCAGGAAAUGAAUGGUAGCAAAUAGCUAAAAUGUAAAGACAAGCAAAGAGCUUUUUGAUAGUUGCAUAUUGCAUUUCGUGAGGCAUGUUAUCUGUUAGUUGCAUAUUAACAUUUUGAUAUAUAUCUAUAGAUGUUUUUGGACUAACAUGAUUGCAGUGCCUCCUUGGACCUUUUGGUCGAGCUUUUCCCUUGGGUGGCCGUACCCACUGGGAACUAUAUUUAUAUAGUUCUCACCCCCGUGUUGCUUUUGGGGGUACAGGUUCGCACGUGAGCGGCGCGGCGGCGCGAGGAAAGGGCGUAGCUCCAUAGAUAGCGCCCUACCCAGAGACCAGAGCUAGCAGUACCCCGUCGACGUGGCUAGGGGUAUAGAAAAUGAAAAGAAACAAUGUAUCAAUUUGUAAAUAAAUUUGUAAUAACUAGAUUGCAUUUGGAUAAAAAAAAAAGAGAAUGUAUAAAGAACUGUGAUGUAAAAAUCUGUGAAUGUGAAUGCGUGUAAUAACAUAGGAUGUGUUUAUGUUGUUUGAUACCUUCCAUUAUGCAAUCUUGAUUGAUAUCAGUUCCUGGUUGGAACAUUCGUAUUGUAUUGAUUGCGAUGCCUUGAACGUACAGGGGAGACUCUGUCCGCAGUACAAGGGAAACCUUGUCCGUUCGGCGCUGUCGGCGCCGCGACCUCGGCCAAAUAGGCGAGUGGUCGCGGGCUGUGACAGUACGAGUACGAAUGCUGGAGAUCAAAGUGAUACCUGCCACCAGUCAUGAGCAUCACCUGCUAAACAGUGUACUCCCAGAGGUACCUGCUCCCCCUCCGGAAUGAACAGAUCCUCAAAUAGCUUCUCCAUCGCACUGACCCAUCCCUCAACAACCCAGGCCUCAGUGCAUCUGCCAUCGUAAAUCGGUGGAUCAAAUCGACAAAAACGAGCUAACCUCUCUGUCCACCGCUCCUGCUCGGCCUCUGUCAAUGGUACAGGUCCCCUGGCAGGCGCAAAUGGCGCUGUAGGAAUCUCCAAUGGUGGGGGCAUAGCUGCGGCUGGAGCUGACGCUGGAGUAGUCGGUGGCGGAACAGUCUGCUCUGGUACACUCGGUGCUGAACUCGGUGACUAAGCUAUCAUCUCACACAACCUCUGCAACAACUCCCCCUGCUGCCUCGUCACCUCAGUCAGGGCAGCCAACUGAGCACUCAAAUCAGGGGGUGCGCUAGCCUCAGGUCGGGCCCUCUGAUCUACAACUGGGGGUGCACUCGCCUCUGGUCUGUCACCCUGCUCCUGCCAAGUACUCUGCUCCAUCAGCUCAGGUCUCUCAGGGGAUCCCGCACGAUUCCGCGCCAACUGGGCACGCUCCCGCAACGACGGUCGACCUCGGCGACGAUACAUAGCUGAAAGGAACAAAUCGGGGUCAGAUACAACGCAACACUCUCGACCCAAUCAACGAAAGUCUGGAAGGCGGUCCCUGUUUUCCUUCAAAAUUAUGUCGUCUGCAGCCAACAUAAUUUCUCAGGCCAAAACAGGAACUCCUUCAGUCACUCACUCCACUCUAAGAUGAGUUAGGACAAAUAAUCAUUGACUUUCGCAAUAAAUUACGCCUCUCGGUCUUGCUUUCCUAAGGUUCGCCAAACUUAGGGUUUCUAGGUCCCAACGACCUAUAGCAAAGCUCUGAUACCAACUUAAUCUGUCACGCCCUGGAUGUCUCGUUCCCCGGGCACGCCGACAAAUCCGCCGUAUACAAAGAAAUUUUCCCUGUAUACGAAGCGACAGCUAUAACUGUAAAUCAAACACUACUACGAACAGUAGUAGAGAGCUGCUAGAGAAAACAGAAGCUAAACAAACUGAAUUUCGUAUAUAUAGUCCAAAUCCAAAAUACAAAGCUACUCGCACUGGCAAGUUAAGUCUACUAUGUACAGAAACUCGAAACAAAAUAUCUACCUGCAGUAGGGGCACCUCUAGCUCAGCAGGACGGGUAAGGCUCUAACUCGCGACGCCCUUGCCUCGAUCCUGAUCCGCGGAAGGCGCAGCAGCCGGAACCUGUGGCUCUGCAAAACAGAAGUAACAACUGGGCGUGAGAACUACUAUAAAAACAAGUAGUCCUCAGUGGGUACCGCCCAAAACAACAUCGGUCCACCCACUAAGUCUACAGAAGGGAGCAAGAGUAGUCAGAAAAGCAGGAAGUAAACUCUACCGCUAUCGAUCACUACACUAUCAUGCUCUACACUAACCAACUGUAGUAAAUGUCAAAUCUGACCCAAUCCAAUCGGGACUGUAAGCAUACCCGUCCCCGGGACUGUGAAUACACCCGUCCCUGCCCCGUUGCGACUAUCAGGCUCUAUCCACACUAACUGGUCCGUGGAGAGCAAGUCCAACUGGCAUGAGCGACACCAACGCGAAAGCACAAAGCCUGACUCCGGAGUGGCACUCGUGGGCGCUACCCAACCGAGUAUGCAGCGUAUCUCUGUCGAGCUCAAUCAGGCUCUGAAAAGCCAAAGUCAAGUAACCAACUCAAACUGGUCUAAUAACCAACAGGUAACGUGCCCUCAGCACAAUCUGAUGCCAAAAAGGCGAUACGGGUCCACCGUCAAUCCUGACGGCACCCAACAGUCCGGAACAACCUGAACGACCCUGUAAAAAUCCACUCGGCACACCAGCACGAGCGUAAAUAUAUUCUAAACUACCUGAAGUACUCGUCUCGAAGAUACUGUGACAGUACAAUUUUAUAACGGCUCCUAGAGCUAAAUCAGGCAGUUUAAACAUGUGACAGGUCCAAAUCGCAGGUUUUCUCCUAAUUCAAAUUCCAAGUCCAACAUGUAUAAACUACUCAAUUUAAUACCACACGCUCCAAAUUCAGAUUUGCUAUCUAUAACAAAAUUCAUGAAUUCGAGCUAGAAUAGACUAUACUAAAAUUGAAUUUUACACAUGUCGACGAUUAGAACUUGGGAGUCAAAACCGAUGUAACCCACCUCGAUCGCUAAACCCCGGCAGCGAGGAGGUCACCAAAAAUCCCCAAAUCCACUGGAAAAACCAGGGUGUCUAGCUCAAGUUCGAAAUCGCCCUGCACACAUCGCAACGAAGAACUCCAACUCAAAUUCUGUCCGAAACACAGCAACAGAGGAGAACAUAAUUUCGACCCAGCUAACCUUCAACAAAUCCAGCAAAUAAGGGCUUCAUGGAUUCCUCUCGAAGUCCUGAAUCCAACGAACCAAGUCUCGUCGAAAUCCGACGUUCCUACGCCGAGUACGAGCCGAAACACUGAUGGUCGACGCUGAAAAUCAGCACGCGAGCUCAAAACCGUGCGUUCAAGUAAUCCAAGGAGGAAAGUUAGGUACCCACCUCGACAGCGAAUCCAGCGCCGGUGCGACGUCGAGGACGGCGAAAACCACGCCCUCGCUCGAACUCCUCGCGAUGCUGCGACUGCAACCGUAUCCUCGAACGGCUCCGCGGCGCGAUGUCGACGUUGAAUCCGAGCUUCGCGGCUACUCCCCCAAGCUCCACCUCGUGUGGUUCUCUACUUCACACUAAAGAGAGAAAGCAAAAGCAAAAUUAAUUAGAGCCACCCUCAAGCAGAUAAGCAUGCAUGGGGGAGUGCACGUGGCAUCCAUAGCCACACUUAGUCUAGGUACUAAUAUAUAUAUAUAUAUAUAUAUAUAUAUAUAUAUAUAUAUAUAUAUAGAGAGAGAGAGAGAGAGAGAGAGAGAGAGAGGAUACUACAGCGACCCUUGCAACUGGUCGAAUAGAUCAUCGAUUCUCGGUAACGGGUACUUGUUGUUGAUUGUCACUUUGUUCAACUCGCGAUAAUCCACGCAGAGUCGAAGUGUGCCAUCGUUUUUCUUUACAAAUAGCACUGGAGCUCCCCACAGUGACACGCUCAGCCUCACAAAGCCUUUAUCGAGCAAGUCUUGCAACUGAGCUUUCAACUCUACUAGCUGGUGUCAUUGUAUACGGAGCCUUCGAGAUUGGCGCCGCCCCGGGAAUCAAAUCAAUGACGAACUCGAUCUCCCGGUCCGGUGGCAAUCCAGGUAACUCGAUCUCCUGGUCCGGUGGCAAUCCUAGGUCCACCCAAUACUUUCACUUUCAUUGCUCUGAUACCACUCUAUCUGUCACGCCCCACGACCGUCAAUUUUGUCUGUUCGGACACAUGCAUAGACGCCGAACGAACAGAACCUCCUCUGUCCGUCCAAGGCACAACAACCACAACAUGUAUAACAAAUUCACCUAGGAAGAAUUUCGAUAUAUAUGGCUUGCACAAGGGCAAGCAACAGAAGCAAGUGAAAGUAAACUAACUAUUACAUCCAUGCAUUGUGUCUUGAUUACAUUAAACCAAAUACAAACUUUUACAUAACCAUUCCAUUACAUACAUGAUCUUUACAUUCAUUUCCAAAAUACAUCUUUUCAUUACAUGUUCUUUACAUCUCUUUUCAUCAUAAGAUGAAAUACUAAAUAGUGCAUCCAUACUCGGGGAAGUCCACUACCUAGGGCGCGAUGCCCUUGCCGCGAUCCUCGACUGCCCCGCUCGCGCUAGGAUUUGCAAGGUUAGUAGGGUGAGAACUACUAAAAGUUCCCAGCGGGUUCGGCCGUGGACCCCACCAACUCACCCACUAGGUCUACUCAGGCAUAUGUAGGAAAAGAAAGAAUAGAUAGCAAACCAUAAUAAUACUACUACAAUGCCUGUACAAGAACAGAACAACAAGUAAUAUACACAUGAUGCACGUAUUUCUCUUUUACCUUUACCUUUACCCAAUCCGCUUGGUUAACCAUUUGGUUAAACCCAACUCACCAAAGCAAAUCCCUUUUGUCGGGGAGAAUACCGCUACAACCCAACGAGACCAUCUGCUGGGGAGAAUUCCACCACCGCCCAGUUGAUGACAACUCCAGAGCUCACCACUUGAGGUGGAGCGACCACCCUCAAGCGUUCAGACUACCUGUGAGUACAAUCUAAUCCUCAACUUGGAGGAUACUAUGUCACUAUUGCCACAAAGUUCACAUAGUUUCUUUGCCUAGCAUUCAUAAUUCUUGAUGCUAUUUAAUCCGUCUAGUCACAAUGUCACCUUAUUUACUAUUGUGUCGUAGUCCAAUACUUCGUUCAUACAUUCAUAGGGUUUCUAUGUCAUGGUCCUUUAUCAUUUCACAUAUGUUCUACAUUGAAAGCAUACAAGAGAUCCCACAUCUUGCCACAUAUCAUUUUACUCUACUCUACAUAGCUGUGUUCUUAAUAGCACAGAGCCCUAAGUCGUUUUCGAUGACUAAACUUUUGAAUUGACAAUCAGCUCCGUUAGACUUAGAUCUAGCAUAUUUGAAGUAUUUAGAAAAUAAAUUUUGCAAUUUUCAAUAUCAUUUACCUAAUGAUCAAAAGGAUUCAAAAUUAAAGGCUGAAAAUAAAAAUCUCACAAAGAGUGGUGAUAUAGUACUAAAAUUUUCGAUGAGAGAUAUUGAUCAUUAGGUAGUAUAAAAAAUAAAAAUCUCACAAAAAGUUGUAGAUAGUAUAAAAAAUUUUUAUCAAAGUUUUAUCUGAUUUGGAGAUUUUUACACUGUUAAACUUGAAAACGACAGACAUCAACUAUUAAAAAUUAUUAAUUUUGAACCCCUUUGGUCGUUAGGUAAAUGAUAUCAAAAAAUCACAAAAUUUAUUUUCUAAAUACUUCAAACAUGCUAGAUCAAAUCUAAUGGAGCCGAUUAUCGAUUCAGAAGUUUAACGGCUUAGGAGCACGGAGCACAACAAUCCUACUAUAUAUAUACAUACAUAUAUAUAUAUAUAUAUAUGUAUAUAUAUAUAUAUAUAUAUAUAUAUAUAUAUACAUAUGUAUAUAUAUGUAUAUAUAUAUAUGUAUAUGUAUAUAUAUACAUAUAUGUAUAUGUAUAUAUAUACAUAUAUAUAUAUGUAUAUAUAUAUAUAUACAUAUAUGUAUAUAUAUACAUAUACAUAUAUGUAUAUAUAUAUAUAUACAUAUAUGUAUAUACAUAUAUAUACAUAUGUAUAUAUAUAUAUAUAUAUCCCCUAAACUUAGGUCCACGUGGUAAGUUAGGCAUAAUUUGAGGCAUGUGGACCCCAGCUGUCAGUACUAAUUCCCAAUAUUAAUUGCUUAGUAGCAUAAUUUUCUUUGUUGAGAUUUUUUUGAAAUUCCUUUUUUUACAAUGGACGAGACUCUUCCCAAAACCGUCGCCUCCACUUCCAAUUAAGGCGUUGAGACCGUUCAUGGCAGCAAUAGGAACAGUCACGCUUCUCUCUCUACUUCAAAUAGGAACGACCUCUCUCCUUCCCCGCCUUCCUCACACCCCUGCUUCACUGCCUUUUCCUCUCCCCUCGCUCUUCCCAUACCUCCUCAUGGCCUCAUCCCUCGCCCUCUCUGUCGCCUGCCAUUAUCUCUGCCCGCCACUCUGUAUCGAUUCACGAACUUUGAGAUUUCUAUUUGAUAGGUGAUGAAACCAAACAACGAUGAUGCAGUGGCGACGCCGGCAGCAACUUGCAGCAGCACGAAAGAGGAUGUGACGGCAGCAGCAAUAGUUGUGGGAUGUGGUGGCGGCGCCAGAGUAGAAGACAGAGGUGGGGACAACGGUAGUGGUGUGCAGCGGCAGAGUAGGAGGAGGCAGUGGCAUCCAUACGAGAGUGAUCACGGUAACUAUGCGGGGAUUUAACAUGGUAACUAUGCGGGGAUUUAACACGGGUAACUAUCCAUACAGAGCAGGAUCCUCUGCUUUUGGAGAUCUUCUUUAUGCUAAUUGAACUAAUACUUAAAAAAUUGCUUAACUAAGUUAUUUGAGGAUAGUGGUAGUUCAAAUUUAUUACUAGAUUCUAUAAUUAUUAUAGAAUACUAACUUUUGGCUGUACUAUGCGCUUGAUUAUUUUGGAUUUGCGUGUGCCAUAUGGUUGGUUAUUAUCGAUUUUCUAAGGGCUGUAGUUUUUUGUGCUUCGCUCUCCGGUGAGCAACGGCGGCAGCAACCCCCCAACGGCCUCUUAUGCAUCCUCAAUAAGGAUGGCGCUAGCUCCAUCAUCACCCACCGCCCCUUCCUUGAUGCCUUUAACUUCUUCAAUCCUCCUCACGUCCCUAAUGAUGAAGAAGAAAUCAAUGAGUAUAAUAUAAGCCAAAUUCUUACUACUAUAUUAGCGCAGUCUACAAAAUAUUAAAGAAAAAAAUUAGUUAUUUAUAUAUUUUUUUUCCUAACCAUUGCUUUAACAGUUGCACAACCAUAUAGAGCAGGGCUAUGAUAUUAGGCAAAUUCUUUGCUUAGAUAAUUAAUCAUAUAUUUAGUAUCAUGCUUUUUUAAAAAAAUUAUUUAUAGUAAACUGAAUCAUCUGUUUUUAUUUGCUUGAAUAUUCGCAUAUUCCUAGAGAAAAAUUAGACACAAAUUGGUUCGACACUAUUAUUCAUAUUGCAGAUUUUGGAUGCAGAUUCUAAGAUAUUAUAUUGAUUCACUGGAAUUCUAAUCUACAGGUAAACUAUAAGAGGCAAGAUAAUUUCACAUAUUUGUUUCAUGGUUCACGAGAGAGGUCGUUCAAGCGCAAAAUUUCUAUAGCAUAGAAGUGGGUGACGAAGAUAUUAUAUACCAUUUUUGGCCUAUGAAUACAUUUAGUAAUAGUGUAUUUGCUAAUUUUUAUUAUUAACUGAGCAUUCAGUAUAACCAUGUGCACUAAUUAAGUAAUUUUCAUUUUUUUUGAUUUGUUUAUUAAAAAUAAAUGAAGAUAUUGCAUGUGCACUAAUUAACUCAUAUAUAACCAUGUCACACUCUUAGUAGACAAUCAGGUAAGAAGAGUAAAGUAGGUUGCACUCAUUGGUUUUAGAUUUUGCUAUUAUGAAAUUAUUGCUUUAAAUCAUUCUAAUGUAUGUUAGAAUAGAUGGCAUUUUACCUUUUGUUAGAAGGAUGCCACAAAAUGAUUGAUUAUUAGUCAAAUUAAAUCCUUAAAUUGUGUUGCUUUAUGAUCGAUUACCAAAACAUUUUUUGUUCUAAAAAGAAAAGGAAUAUGUUUAGUCAGUACAUUCAUAUUUAUUUAAAUAUAGUCAAGAAUUAUUUUUGCAUUACUUUAGAUUUUAUUGAAGUUAAACUACAUGGCAGUAGAGCAAGAAUUCUACAACCAUUGCAAGGAAUGUGAAGGGAAGGAUGCAAUCAUAAAGUAAUUGGUUGUUGCUACUUAUGCAUCCAAUAUAACUAACUCUAAGGUGUUAUAACUUCUUUUAUUCUUCACUUGAUUCUACGAAAAGAGGAUUGCUGAAUUACAAUAAAGAGAAAAAAACAUGAUAGUCUCCAAAUUAUAGAAAGACAUGAUAUUUCUAGAACAGAAGAUAAAUGCUGCUUAAUUCUAAAGGUUUAGAAUGUAGGCUUUACAAGUUUGUAUUUAUCUUUUCUUAUAGUCUUAUCACUUUUUUGAUUAAAUAAUUGAGUUUAAUCACAUAGAUUGUAGAAUGGAAAGAUCUUCUUUUGAAGUGUUUUAUCAACUUUUGUAGACUAUUUAAACAGAUGAUUCUCAUUGGAUAGCUAUAAUACUACUUUUUUUGAUAAAUUACAUAUUUCAGGCUUAUUUUUUAGACUUUAUGAUAAACGAUGGCAGAAUAAAAAUUUACUUUGAUAAUACCUAUCCGUUGCAACGCACGGGUAACUACACUAGUAUAUAUAUAUAGUGCGUCUGGUAUGCUUCUGGAAGUACGGAGCGCUCCGUGCUUCCAAGUCAUUUUCGAUGUUGGGACUUUCGAAUCGACGAUCAGCUCUGUUAGACUUGAUCUAGAGUAUUUUAAGUAUCUAGAAAAUAAAUUUUGCGAUAUUUUGAUAUCAUUUGCCUAGUGAUCAAAGUGGCUCAAAAUCAACGGCUGAAAAUAAAAAUCUUACAAAAUAUGAUGAUAUGAUAUUAAAAUUUUAGAUCAAAAAUAUUCAUCUUGUUUUAUAUAGUAUAAAAAAUUUCACGUGAUUUGGAUAUUUAUACACCGUUAAACUUGCAAACGAUUCACCGCGGCCAUUAAAAUUAUUAAUUUUGAGCCCCUUCGAUCACUAGGCAAAUGAUAUCAAAAAUCACAAAAUUUAUUUUCUAGGUAUUUCAAAUACUUUAGAUCAAGUUUAACGGAGCCGAUCGUCGAUUCAAAAGUCCCAACAUCGAAAACGAUUUAGAAGCUGUAAGGACUGAGACUUUUGCAGUGUAGCUAAACUCUCAGUUGACGAUAUUUUUGUGUGUAAUUUAAUUACAAUAGCACUCGUCAAGUUUCGGGUGAAAACGAGCUAAAACGGAAAUUCUACGCGAUUUCCAAGUUUCACUUAAAGUGAAUAGUAACUCGAUUUUUCGGAGAAAUCACGGUGGGAAGUUGGCUUCUGGCUCGUAUCGGACUCCGUUCCUAGCGGUCCAAUAGCUCGUUUCGAGUGGGAUCGUACGUGGAGGGGUGUCCGUGAAAGUUUUGAGGAGCCCAAGGAUCUAUCUAGAUUGUAUCUAUCACCUAGAGGGGGGUGAAUAGGUGAACGGCCAAAAAUCACAAAUCUCGAUGCAAUAAAAAUAAAUGCGGAAAAUAAAAAGCACACCGAGAUUUACGUGGGAAAACUCCAACUUGGAGAAAAACCCACGGGACCAACACGCGAAAAAAUAAUUCACUAAGAGAAAAGAUUACAAGGUGAUUGCCGACUCCACGGACUCUACCUCUCUUAACCUCCUAUGAAUCUCGCGCGAUCCUCCGGGUUGUCCACGCCCUCACGUUCGAAUCCAGCCGAAUCCACUGACGGCGACUCGAAUCCAUGAGCCCACGAUCCGAAUCCACGAACCGCCUUUCAAUUACGCCCGAAUCCACAGACGCCGUUCAUGUAAGAGCAUCAUAAUUAUGGUGAUCCUUCGCUUAAGGAGUAUCGUAGAAAACCAGGGAAUAGAAACUCCAAGCGAAGCGGAGAAUCCAAAUCGACAUAUAGAGAAUGCGAAACGAUAUCUCGAUUUGAUCUAAAGAGACUAAUUUUGUAGAAAAUAGGUUUAUAAGAAUGAAAAAUCUCGAAGCCUCUUAGGUUGUCAAAUCAUGUAUUCUUAUCAUGCUUAAUCAGUUAGAGAACCCCUAUAGCUUAUUUAUAGACUUUAGAAUCAAAAACGGAAGUAGGAUUUAGAAAGUUUCUUUCGCAAAAAUCAGCACCUUGUACCGGGAACAAGGAAAGCUGUCCAGGGUACAGCAUGACGAAGAUUUUCUGCCGAAGCUCUGUACCUGGACAGACUGCUUUUUGUUCCGGAACAGGGAUUGUACCGGUACAGCCAUGAUGGUUGUACUUGGACAUACACAUCAAACAGUCUGCGCAAACACUGAUGGCUGCUGUACCCUGGACAGAAAUCCUUGUACCGUACAACAAUGCAAUUUUUCGCUGAAAAUGCAUUGUUUCGGCUUCUACAAGCUCUUAGAAACUUUCUAAAUCAAUUACAACUUGAAAAUAUGAUUCUAAGAGAUCUAUAAAUAAGUAUGAACACCAUAAACAAGAUUUAAAGCUUACCUAAGGCAUCGUGAUUCAAGUUUUGCGUGUGUUUGCGUCCUUUCUGAUUCUUCGAAGUCUGGAUUCUAUCGAUCUUCAAUACGCCGCUUACCGGACUUCUUCAAGACUAUCCGACUCGACCCACCGAAACUUGCCAACACAUAGGAUCUAACAAUCUCCCCCUUUGGCAAUUCGUGACAAAAACACACACAAACCAACAAAAUUACAAUAGAAGAGAAAAACGAAGUCAAUGUCAUUACCAAAACAUCGAACCCCUCGCGUGUAAUUCCAAAUACAAUUUGAAAACUCAAAAUUAUAUCAAAACUCCUAAACAACUCUAUGACUUAGACGCAACUAGGAGUCUUGAAGUCUUGAUUUCCUGGCAAAACAAUUCAAUCUCAAAAUGAUUACGCACUAAAAUUCUUAUACCUUCUCCCCCUUUGUCACAUCUCCCCCUUUGUUCUUGAACUCAUCAUCCCUCGUGCUUCAUUCAAUGUGCCUUGUUCAUCCAUCCGCUCUCCUCUUUCAUCACGCUCCCUCUUUUUAUCAAAAAUUGCCAAAAAAGAAAGCAAAUAGAAAGAGAAAACAAACUAGAAAAACAUGAGAGUAGUCUAGUCAUCAGUUACAGGCCUAAAACAAAAGUAAAAACUAUACUACAGAAAGAUAAGCAAGCAAAUCUAAAAUAUCAUCCUAAAACAGCAAAUGCAGUGAAAGAAAGAGACUAAGCUCGAACGAAGAAAUCACUCCGUGUCCCUCAUCAUCAAUCAUCAUCAUCUCCUGCACCAGCUCUAGAACCUCCAGCCUCAGGAGCACACUCCAGACGGUGGAAUGAGAGGAUGUCGUGAAGAUGACCACUGAAUACAGGCAGAAGAUGGAGUAUGUUUCCCAAAUAUCACAUUGUCGACACCCCCAAUCUUAUCAUCAAUCUUUUGAUACUUAACUCAAACUUUUUGAUGCCGACUCAACUUUCCUUCCAAUGUUGUUUCACGCUUCUUCUUUAAUUUUCGCCAAAUCAUCCUUAACUGAUUCAACUCGUCGGCUCCCACCCGAACUAGAUCAAGUAUCAUAACUCCCUCGAGAUGUAGGCGGAGGAGCAGAGCUAGAAGCUGCUCUCGGGUGAGGUGGCUGGGGGUGCCAUAGUGCGUCAGAGUGUGGCACUUUGGUCUAAUGGAAUGACUUGAGAGUGCUAACAGACUCAGGCCCAAGUCACGGAGUCAAUAGCCCAAGCCAACAUCAUACUUGUCACAAGAUGUUACUACUCCAUUUGCUUGAAGAAUCCUCGUAACAGAACAGGAAAUGGAAGUAGAUCCCGUCGAGUGCACCCUGAAUCAACGUGUAUCAUCGCUUUGCCAAGAUCAGAAAUGAAAUGUUGAUGUUCAAUCCAUGAGCGUGCUCGGAUGACCCAGUAGAUAUAGCAAACACUAAUCUCUCCCAGCGGAUCCUCUUUGUCGCCGAUAGUUGGUUGAACAUUAUAGCUCAUACACAAUGAUAGCAAUGAUGACUCAGGUAAUAAAUCCUUGGAUUCAAUGUAACCAUGAGUCAUGUAAACACCAGCUUGCAUAUAGCUCCAAGAAUGAUAUUCAUGUGAGUUGAUGCUUAGAAUCCUCCUGAUGUAACACACUGGACCUUUUGCAAAUUUGUGGUUCGAGUGUCUGAGUUGUGUUCUGAGUAUUUCCAGAUUUUCUGGUAGUGUCGUUGACAGUGUUCCAGACCCAUGGCUCAUAUUCCGAGAUUUGAGUAUUUGAAGUAGCCCAAAGGUCACACAAAAAGUUGGACUUAGGCUGCUCUCGGAUUGCUGUUUUCUCGCUGUGUACCGGUACAAGCUGAUGGCUGUACCGGUACAGGUUGAUGGUUGUACCGGUACAGCCACCGGCUGUAUUGACCGGUACAAGCCGUUGAACCCCCAACCCGAGCCUCGGUUGUGAUGUUUUCGUAGGGCUUGUACCGGUACAGGGGCCCGUGUACCGGUAAUAAGUGGCAGAUUUUGAGCAGUUUCGAACUGCAGGGGUGUUUUUGCUAUUGUAGUAUCUAUAUAAUACCACCCACGCCCUUUGCUGAUCUCCCUGAGCACAGAGGACAAGUAGAGCCCUUCUCUUCUUCUCUUUUUGAUUUCCCUCCCCUUUUGCUUGAUUUGAUGGUUAUCCCCUCUUUUGCUUUUGUGACUUUCCACCAUGGGAGAAACUUGGGAGCUUGGAGUGAGCUUGUUGAGGUGAGAUCUUCGAUCCUUGGGGAUUGUGAACCUUGUUUGAGGCUUCUUGAGAGGUUAGUUGCUUACUAUUUUCCUUCUAUCAUGAAAUUUCAUGAAUUUUGUUUAGAAACCUAGAAAUGAGGAUUUAGGUUUUUUGGGUUUUUGAUCUAGGGCUUUCGGAGCUCAAUCGAUCGUUUUAGAACCUUCCCUUGGUUUGGUUGGAAGGGAUCUAGCUUCCAUUUGGAGCUUAAAAGGGAUUUUCUACACUUAGGUGAGAUUUAGCCAUCUUUUGCCUUUGGCCUUAUGGUUAAUGUUUGAUUUUCGGGUUGUUCGUUUCGUUGGGUAACCGCUCGUUUUGAUGCUUCUAGGGUACUAGGAGUCUUGUGGGGCACCUCCGUUCGGCGAAACGAAGGUUUUCGAUUUUGGUGGGUUUGGCCUCACCUAAGAUGAGAUAAACUUCUCAUAUGAGGUUUUAUUUAUCGUAAAGUGAAAACGCAUGUAUAUUCUUAUUGGAUAGAAUAUUUGAGAAUUUUAGAAUGCUUAAAUUGCACAUGUCAUAUACAAUGCAUAUUGGACCUCUAUAUAGUAGAGAGUCUUCAAUGUUGGCUAGGCCCUAUGGUUAGCAUUCUUACAUUUGAUUGAGAUCAUGUUGCAUAUGGUGCAUAUGGCAUAUAGAUUACACUCUGAGACUUAGAACGCAUGCUUGACAUGGUUGGACAAAUCGACAUUAAGUGACAUAGGCUAGAGUGUAUACAAAUAAAUAAGCUAAUGUCAUAAAGCGGCAUAGGCUUGAUGGAUAUGUAAAUUGCAUUACCUGUUAUUAUUAUGAGAAUUAUGCCAAGUUGAUAGUUGCAUUGGAUAGAAUAAGCUAACGUAACAAGAAGACAUAGAAGGUGAAAUGUGCUUAGAUUAUAGCAAGUUUAAGUGUCAUAAAAGAGGCACUAAACAUAGUGAAUUGGGAACUUCACCUUGAGAUUUGGACUUAGUAAAGCUAAGUCAUUGAUAUCGAAAUUAUUGAACGGUUUAAACCUUCACAUUUGAGACAUAGUACUAGACCUUUGGUUCUAGUGACUAUACCAUGUUAGAGACAUGAUGAUUGGGUACUUGAGGUUUUGACCAUGCUGCUUGCCAUUUUUGCUCAUUCGCACAUGCUUGUACGGUUGCUCCCUACAAGCCGGCACUUCCCGGAGUUAGCACUACGCGACAUAUGCUCCAGUCGUGCGUAUUAAAAAGCUUACGGGGUCGAGUGGGACAGACACAUUCCAAGAGCAGGAAUGUUGGGCUACCACAGGCACUUAGGCGGCACAACCGGACUACACCCGUGUAGAUCCUGAAUGAGAUUGAACCAGAAUAUUAAACAACAAGUUGAUAAUCACUACUAGACAGGUCAUAGUAGUUGGAUUCUUGACAUCCUACGGCAUAGGUUGGACAUUGAGAUUCAUAGGAUACUUGACGUAUCGCUUAUGGCAUCGUAGUGUACUUGGAUUGCCAGGAUAGUACAUACUGGAUAUGUAGUUGGCUUUGAGACAUAUUAUUAUACUUCAUAUAUUACUUGUUGCAUCAUAAGCAUAGCUUGUUUAAGUAUUGGCAUAUCUGGAUCAUGUAGAGUAAUGUACUCCAUGUUGACAUUCUUCAUACUUGUGGCAUAGUAGAGUAGCAUUUUAAUAUUAUGCUUAUUUACCGCAGUUAAUUUAUGUUAUCCUUAUCUGCUCUCUUUGGGGCUAGUGGUGCAGCUGGUGCAAGUCAGUAAUUGCCCACUGGGAACUAUAAAUUAUAGUUCUCAUGCCCCCCUAUUUUAUUUUUCUUUCAGAGCCUUCCACUCCGGGAGGGGCUCGGAUCGCGGGAAAGGUUUCUCCCUCGAGCUAGCUAUCGAGGAUUUGGCGAUAGGUGGUCCACCUCUCUUUUGCUUCUGUUGGAGAGUUGUGAGAGUUUGUACCUUAUUAUAGAGACCACCCUACUGUUGUAUCUGGAGACUUUAUGAUGUAUUAGUUUCUUUAUGUUCUAGUGGUUUAGUCUCUUUUUCUUUCCUUUUUAUUUCCGCUUGUUGGUAGAACCUAGCUAUAUACUUGCUCUGAUAUCUCUAGUUGUAAGAUUUUCUCUUGCUUUACUCUCCGCUUUUGUGUAGACGCCUUAUAUGUGUGACAUAUGGCGGUCUGGCGCGCGCACGCGGCGGCCUAUGCCGCAUCCCGGGGCGUGACACAAAUUAAUUUGGUAUCCAGAGCCUAGGUUGAGUCUUAUGGACCUAGCAAACCUUAGGCCGGUUGGACUAUAGGAAUUAACUCGUGAGAGACGAGGUCUAUUUGAUUUAUGAGCGAAAGUACAUGAUUGGGUUUCUUUGAUAACUCCAAAAUGUUGGAGUUGAAAUCGAAGUGUAUGGCUUCUAACUCGCGAGGGUUACGUUGGCGGCCGAACAACGUAACAUCAGGAGUUAAUAGUUGGGACACUUCUUUACUUUCGCAUGAUUUGGGGUGUUGUUAUUUGAGGCGGGCUUGCGAUAGCGGGGUUAUAUUAACUUGCGCUUUUAUGAUGUUGUAGUUUGAUGCCGGACUACACGCUCUAAGUCUGUUAGAGCGGACGAUGCGGCGACUUUUGAGGAAGCGGAGACAUCCGCUACCUCCGAUCCGGUGAGGUCUGAGUUGAGGAGCCAACUUUGCCGCCCUCACUGAUUUGGUGAUGCAGCAGGCGGCGGCCGGCUCAGCAGCAAGCGGACACGGCAUCGGACGGCAGGAGGCACGGAUGCAGCGCCCGGAGGAUCUUCUAUUACAGCAGGCAGCUGGCCAGAGAGGCUCAGGUCUCUGUACUACCCGUGCCAGUGGAGACAGUUGUGCCCGGGGGGUCGUCCCCUGCACUCGACACUUCGCAGACGACACUUACGGUAGCCCAUCGGGAGAGGUAUAUGGCACACCACCAGCUCAGGUGCCUUGUGGAAGCGGCGACUUUUCCCUUGAAUGGUUGAAAGAGCAGAGCGGCAGCGGCUCAUGGAUCGCCUCGAUGAGUUCAGAAGGUGCGAUCCCAGGAUCUUUGAUGGAGAGAAAGCGACCACUGAGUCGUUGAGGAAUGGUUGAUGGCAUAUGGAGAAGUUAUUCCGCCGAUACCUUCGGGAGGAGAGAGAUAAGAGUUUGGCUCGCCACUCACACCAUUUGGACAGCGAGGCUAUAGUUGGUGGUGGGUCAUCCAGGAUAAUCCCAACACCGACCUAGCAGCGAUUUCUUUGGAAAGAUUCAAGAGCUCUUAUUGGAGCAUUACUUUCAUCCGCGUGAAGAGAGAAAUGGAGCAGAAUCUGCGCUGAGAAUGUCGGCUCUGGGAAAAUGGAGCAGGAUCUGCGCGAGAUGCGCCAGGGGGAUCAGACUGUGGCCGAGUACGAGAGGGAGUUCUCUCAGCUUCUACACUAUGCGCCCUUUGUCGUGCGGGACGUCGAGGAUAAGGCUCGCAUCUUCGAGCGAGGACUUCGGCCGUCGAUCUUACGGUUGGUGCAACCCUCCCACCUUCAGACUUACCAAGAUGUGGUGAACCGCGCUCUCAUUGUGGAAAGCUGCGCGGCAGACUUGCAGGAGCGUCGAAAAGGCUCGAACAAAGGACAGGACAGGAGGCCCGCGACUGAGGGUGCGAGUCAGACGCACUCUGGGAGGCCGCCGAAACAUUCCAGGAACCGGAGCCAAUCGCGAGGACGUGGCUCAUCAGCACGGCAUAGAGGAUCCGAGCGUCGUCAGACAUUGAGCUGUGUGAUCUGCGGUGGUCAUCAUUACCCGCAGCAGUGCUCUCAGAGGCAGGGCAGGUGCUACUCGUGUGGCCAGGAGGGUCACUUUCAGUCAGACUGUCCGAGAGGUUUAGUAUCAGCGCCAUCUUCAGCAUCGGUACCAGUAUUACCGGAUCCCAGCCAAGGGAUGCCUUUUACUUACUAUCAGGACGGGAGGCCACCCGUCCGGAGACAGACGGAGGGGUCACGACGGGCCCCGGGCGGGCGCAAGUACGCGGCCCAGACGGAGGAGGCGGCAGCAGCUGAGUUUGUGACUACAGGUAUCAGUCUUAUUUGUGGCAUUCGAGUUGUGCAUUGUUGGUUACUGGAGCAUUGCAUCUAUGAUCGGCUAUUCGCCGAGUUGCAUGGCAUUUCGUUAGUUCGCUGUUUGCGACAUUAUGUAGCCCCUCGAGCUAGGCGAUUGAUUUGCGGGUUGCGGGUAGCAUAUUUCGCUAUGGUCGUAGAUCUCACGAGGAUUGCAUUAGUUGUAUCCCUGGCUCGGCUGUUUGCUGGAUGGUGCUUGGAGACGACCGUGCCUGGACCAUUUGGGGACUGUGGAGCCUGGGCCCGUUGGGCAGGCGCAGUCGGCUGUGUGUGUCAGCGGCCCGGUACCUGCGGGUAGGGCAGAGUUUUGGUCAGGAUGGUAGUCCGAGCGUGGACCCUGGAGCGUGGAAAGCCACGCGUUGGAUCGUGAGAUCGAGGACACACUGAGUGUGUAGUUACCCAACCCGAGGAAUGUAAGCAUUGAACCUUUCGGCGCGUGUGGAUGAUCGGUUGAUCGGGUGUGUCGUUUCGAACACCCUACCCUGUGAGAUGGUUCUGUGUGCCAACAAAUAGAUUGGCCUUCCUUGGUGUGGAGUUGUUGUAGGUACCUGGUACCCUUGGAUUGCGAGCUGACUUGACUCGCCUUGAGGACUGUGAGCACGAAAUAGUGCGAUUUGAGGACUCACUUCUGCUUGAUGCGUUGAUUGUCUCCCUUACCUAAAAUUGGGUAAGUGUUGGAGAGGGUUUGGGGCCUGAGUGGCCAUUAGCUUUGGGUGAUUAAGAAUCCUUGAAAUGAAGGAUGCCUUCGAUCCGUCGUUGUGCCCCCGAUCGAAUCACAAUCAUGAGCUCGAUUGGCGGGGUGGUUUUAUAGUUGGUGUUUUGCUUCGUGGAGGAGCACUCUCACUUGUUGUGGGACCGGUUGGGCCGUUUCGACUGUAGGUCGACUCUCAUGAUUCAAAUUGAACCACGAUUGGAGGUUUAGACCGUAGCUGAGGCCCAUUGACCUUGUCAGAUGGCGUUGAGUUGUUGGUGUACUCGUUAAGAUUGUGAGUAAUCUGAGUAGUACUGUUGACGUUGGAGUUUGAGGUCGUACCUCAAAUGGAUUGUGAUGCUAGGUGGGGACAUCACGAGGAUGAUGCUGCCUAAGCCUAUAGUACUCAACCUGUGGAGGGGUUUGCGGAAUGAUAAUCCCAAGCCCUCUGGAUGGAAUUGUGGAACCAGUCGCUGAUGACUAGGGGUAUUUUUAUAGGAUGUAUGAGGUUGGACUGCGUUGGCAGGUUUGGAGUGAUCGAGUUGUGGAACUCUCACUAACGGAUGGAAAGCUCGUGAGAAGGAGGGUACCAAGUUACGAAUUUCCCGUGACAGGAGCGUGUACAAGGAUUUGAGUCCUUCAGGAUUGAACUACGUAUGAGGACUUAUGGGAUUGACUUUGACUUAACAGUCGCAUCAGGAUGACUUUGAUAGAGAGCUGUUACUGAACGGUGGAUUGAUCCAUCUCUAUCGCAAGAAUCGAGUUUGGGGACCUUGGACACUUGGAGCAUCCAAUGCUAGGGAAAGCAUUGAGAUCGGAAAUUUCUAAGUGAUUGUGUUGUGAGCCUUCUGUCGAAGCUAGGCCCUUGGCCUAGGCUUGCGAGAGUUUACUUGGACUUGAGUUGGGACUAAGAUGAUGAUCUUAGUAGACUGAUGAAGCCUUUGAGCUUAGUCCCCGACCAUAUAUUGCAAUGGAAUUGAGGGUACUCCCGAGUGGUGAAUUUGAGAUCGAUGUGGAGACAUCACAGCGCCGUGCCGAUUGAGGAAUCAACUAAUCGCCAUGAUGGGCGAGUUUGGACGAUCUGUCGAUUUCUGUUACUAUUGGAAGAAUGGCUAUCUUGAAUGUUGAAUCGGAACCGUUCGUGCCAAGCAAGAUUGGACAGUGUGACGGACGUUGCUAAUAGAAUGGGAUUGAAAGGUUACACCGUAACUAACCUUGGAUUGGAUUACACUCAGUUAUGUUAUCUCAAGAAGAGACUUGAUCUUAGAUCUGAAGGAUCAUCGUUGGAAUAAGAGCCUACAAGUGGACUGUGCAUCACCUUCCCUUGGUGAGUGUCGAUCGGGUGAGCACUCCGAUGGAGUUGUGGUAGUUCGGUGGCGGAUGUACCCCCUCCCCUGAUGCUUGCUUUGGACAAUACCCUUGAGUCAAGGCACCGCCUUGGGAGGGUAUUCGAUGGAACUUCUGGUACAAGAGUGAUUGAUAUAAGCUAGGUUUUACCCUCGACUGGGACAAGGAAGGUGGAAACUGGAAUUCAGCUUUUGGGAGCACUAGCGUUCAUGAGAGCCGAUUGAAGGACUUGUUGAUCAAGCGCGGAUAAGGGAUGGACCUUGCUGGGGAGGCUGGAGUCCGAGGAACUUCAGAGAGAGUUUGAUUUGAGCUAUGCCAAGUCUUGGCAUCGUGGGGUCUGGUUGUUUUUGCCAUGGAGCUUUCCGGCAUGUUCGAGACCUUCGUUGUCUAGCUUGUACGCUGUUAGAGCGUUUCUCUAUCCUCUUUUGAUGAGUCUGUGUUGUGGUUGAUCCGCAGUUUAGCGGACGAAACUCCUUUUUAGGAGGGGUGAAUGUAACACACUGGACCUUUGCAAAUUGUGAGGUUCGAGUGUCUGAGUUGUGUUCUGAGCAUUUCUAGAUUUUCUGGUAGGUCGUUGACAGUGUUCCGACCCAUUGCUCGCAUCCCGAGAUUUGAGGUAUUUAAAGUAGCCCUAAGGUCAUCAAAAAGUUGGACUUAGGUUGCUCUCGGAUUGCUGUUUUCAGGGCUGUGUACCGGUACAAUCUGAUGGCUGUACCGGUACAGGGUUGAUGGUUGUACCGGUACAGCCACCGGGCUUGUACCGGUACAGAGCCGUUGAACCCCCAACCCGAGCCUCGGGUUCUGAUGUUUCGUAGGGCUUGUACCGGUACAGGGGCCCGUGUACCGGUACAAGGUGGCAGAUUUUGAGCAGUUCGAACUGCAGGGGUGUUUUUGCUAUUGUAGCAUCUCUAUAAUACCACCCACGCACCUUUGCUGAUCUCCUGAGCUGGGAAACACAGGAGGACAAGGUAGGGAGCCCUUCUCUUCUUCCCUUUUGAUUUCCCUCUCUUUUUGCUUGGAUUUUGAUGGUUAUCCCCUCUUUUUGCUUUUGGUGACUUUUCCACCAUGGGAGAAGCUUGGGAGCUUGGAGUUGAGCUUGUUGGAGGUGAGAUCUUCGAUCCUUGGGGAUUGUGAACCUUGUUUGAGGCUUCUUGAGAGGUUAGUUGCUUACUAUUUCCCUUUCUAUCAUGAAUUUCAUGAAUUUUGUUUAGAAACCCUAGAAAUGAGGAUUUAGGGUUUGUUUUGGGGAUUUUUGAUCUAGGGCUUUCGGAGCUCAAUCGAUCGGUUUAGAACCUUCCCUUGGGUUGGUUUGGAAGGGAUCUAGCUUCCACUUGGAGCUUAAAAGGGAUUUUCUACACUUAGGUGAGAUUUUAGCCCUUUUUGCCUUGAUGGUUAAUGUUUGAGUUUCGGGUUGUUCGUUUCGUUUGGGUAACCCUCGUUUUGAUGCUUCUAGGGUACUAGGAGUCUUGUGGGCACCUCCGUUCGGCGAAACGAAGGUUUCGAUUUUGGUGGGUUUGGCCUCACCUAGAUGAGAUAAACUUCUCAUAUGAGGGUUUUUAUUUAUCGUAAAGUGAAAACGCAUGCAUAUUCUUAUUGGAUAGAAUAUUUGAGAAUUUUAGAAUGCUUAAAUUGCACAUGUCAUAUACAAUGCAUAUUUGACCUCUAUAUAGUAGAGAGUCUUCAUGUUGGGCUAGGGGCCUAUGGUUAGCAUUCUUACAUUUGAUUGAGAUCAUGUUGCAUACGGUGCAUAUGGCAUAUAGAUUACACUCUGAGACUUAGAACGCAUGCUUGACAUGGUUGGACAAAUCGACAUUAAGUGACAUAGGCUAGAGUUUAUACAAAUAAUAAGCUAAUGUCAUAAAGCGGCAUUAGGUUUGGACUAGAUAUGGACUUAGCAAUCUAAUGUCAUAAAGCGGCAUUAGGCUUGAUGGAUAUGUAAAUUGCAUGUACAUGUUAUUAUUAUGAGAAUUAUGCCAAGUUGAUAGUUGCAUUGGAUAGAAUAAGCUAACGUCAUAAAGAGACAUAGAAGGUGAAAUGUGCUUAGAUUAUAGCAAGGUUUAAGUGUUAUAAGAAGGCAUAAACAUAGUUGAUGUGAAUCCCUUGGAUUUAACUUAUAAAGUAAUAUCAUUUAUAUCGAAAUAUUGAACGUUAAACUUCUUAAUAAUAAGUAAUAGACUAUUCAGGUUGUAGUGACUUUUUUACAUGUAUGAGACAUGAUGAUGAUAUACUUUAUUGGUUUUUAUUACAUGACUUGUUGCAUUGUGCUUUCGCAUAUGCUUUAGGGUCGUCCUACAAGCCGGCAUCCGGAGUUAGCCGCGAAUAUGCUCGCCGAUGGUGUAUUGAAAGCUACGAGAGUUCGAUGGACAAAAUUCAGUAGAGGAAUGUUGGGCUACCACCAGGCACUUAGGCACAACAAUACCGUGUAGAUCAUGAAUGGAUUUAAACGAUAAUUAAACAACAGGUGAUAAUCACUUUAUAUACAGGUCAUAGUAGUUGAUUCACUACAUGCUAUGUUACUAGGGGACUGAAAGAAUCAUAAGAGAUAAACUUGACGCAUGCUUAUGUCAUCGUAGUGUACUGAUUGCGAGGUAGGAUAGUACAUACUUUAUAUGUAGUUGCUUUGGAAUAUAUUAUACUCUAUAAGUAUUUACUUGUGCAUCAUAGCAUAUGUUUAUGUAUUGAUACUUGGAUCAUGUAGAGUUAGAUGUACUCAAUAUUGAACCAUUAAUAUGUGAUGUUAGAUAGAUGCAUUUUAAUAUUUAUGCUUUAAUUUACGCAGUAUAAUUUAUUUAUCCUUAUUUCCUUCUUUGGGCUAGUGAGUGCAGCUGUGCAGAAGAUAGUAAUUGACCCACGAAAUAUAAAUUAUAGUUUUUAGCCCGCUUAUUUAUUUUUUCUGUUAGAGCUUCCAUCGGGAGAAGAGUCAGGAUCUGAAAGUUUUUCGCCUAUAAUAUGAGGGAUUUUGGAGAUAUGAUGGCAUCCUCAACUUUCUUUGUUUUCUUUGAGAGUUUGUGAGAUUUUGUAUUUUAUUAUAGAACCACCUACUUUUGUAUUGGAGUUAUAAUGUAUUAGUUCUUUUUUCUAUGUUAGUCUAUUUUCUUUCUUUUAUUUCCGCAUUGUGAUAGCACCUAGGUAUAUACGCCUCUGUAAUCUCUGUUGUUAUAUUUUUUGUUUUAUUCUUCGCUUUUGUGUGACCUUAUAUGUUGAAAAUAGCGAUUCUGGGGCACGGCCCUAUGCGGUCCGGGGCAGUGACAAACAUAUAUAUAUUAGUAGUGCUAGAAUCUUUAAAAGUAUAUAAGGGAUAAUACUGUGUGUUGUUAGCAUGUGGAUGGAGGAUGUGAGGUUGAAUAAUGGGUAGUGUGUAUAGUGUGAAGUAUGUUGGAAUAGUGUUUAAUCCAAAGCCUAUAUAAUCAAAAAGAUUUUACAAGUAUUAAUAAUCCCAAAAAGUAGAUUCUAAUGGCUUAAACCAUAAGUAUAGCACCAUGAUGAUGAAUUUAAUAAUAUCAUAGCUCAACUAUAUAUUAUAAUAUCUAUAUAUAUAUAUUAUAUAUAUAUAUAUUGAUAUUAUGUGGAGUCGGGCUGUAUGUUAUGAAGUCAGGAGCUAGUGCUUCAAGUUGUUUUCUCCGAUGUUUCGGACUUUCGAGAUCCGAUCUGGGUGUUUGAGUGUUAGAUAGUAUUUAGUUAAGAAAUAAUUUUUAUUUUUCGAUAUCAUUGCCUAGUGAUCGAAGGGACUCAAAAUCAAUAAUUUUAAUGGCCGUGGUGAGCCGGUUGCAAGUUUAACGGUGUAGAAAUAUCCAAAUCACAUGAAAUUUUGAUAGAAAAUUCUUUAUACCAUAUAAAACAAGAUCAAUAACUUUGAUCUAAAAUUUUAUUGUCAUAUCAACAUAUUUUGUAAGAUUUUUAUUUUCAGCCUUUGAUUUUGAGCCACUUCGAUCACUAGGCAAAUGAUAUCGAAAAAUCGCAAAAUUUAUUUUCUAGAUACUUCAUAUACUCUAGAUCAAGUCUAACGGAGCCGAUCGUCAAUUCGAAAGUCCGAACAUCGAAAACAAAGUAGAAGCACGACGCCCUCCCUGCUUCCAUAAGCAUCCUAGCCGCACUCUAUAUGUGUGUGUGUGUGUGUGUGUGUGUGUGUGUGUACUAAUUGAGUGUACGUACAAAUGCACGUAAUAAUUAUUUUAAUUUAUUUUAAAUCAAUGUAAAUUUGCAAAUUAUAUUUAUUUAAAAAUUUAAAAUUUAUAAAUUCAUAUAUUAUAUUUUAUUAGAAAAUAUUUGUAAUAUUCUAUAUAUAUAUUUUUUAUAUACAUUAAAUAUUUUUAUAUAUUUUUUGAUUUCUCAUGAUCUAAAAUUUAAAUAUGUAUUUUAAACAAAAAGCGUCAAAAUUUAAUUCAUAUUUAUUUCAAAAUUUAAAAUUUAAUUUUGAUCCACGAUAAUUAAAAUUUGUGGAUAAGAAUGUUAUUUUUUAACAGAUUAAUCAUAACCGUUCGUUUUUAUUUGAGGUUUUUUUAAUUAAGUGAACCGAUCAUUUUUAAUUGACACAACCGUCCGUAAGAUUAGAUUUAUAAAUAGAAUGCUAUUUUUUAACAGAUUAAUCAUAACCGUUUGUUCUUAUUUGAGAUUUUUUUUUAAUUAAGUGAUCAUAUCCGUUCGUAGAAAAUAUAUGGAAUAUUCUUUUAUUUCUUUUUGGAUUCCUUUAUAGAUGGAUAAGAACGCUAUUUUUUAACAAAUUAAUCAUAAUCGUUCGUUCUUAUUUGAGAUUUUUUUAAUUAAGUGAUUAUACCCGUUCGUGCCUGUUCGUAGGAAAUAUAGAGAAUAUUUUUUUAUUUCUUUUUGGAUUACGCCUGUCUCGAAAUUUCUAUACGCUUUUAUAUAUAAUAUACUAGUUGAAUGUACAUGCAAAUGUACAUAAUAAUUAUUAUAAUUUAUAUCAAAUCAAUAUAAAUUUGUACAUUAUCUAUAUCCAAAAUUUUACAAUAAAAAUUAUAUUUAUAAAUUAAUAUGUUAUAUUUUAUUAGAAAAUAUUUACAAUAUCCUACCGUAUUCUUUUUUUUAUAUACAUCGAAUAUUUUUAUAUACUUUUUGAUUUUUGAUGAAUCAAAUUUAAAUAUGUGUUUUAAAUUAAAAUUUCAAAAUUUAAUUCACAUUUAGUUUAAAAUUAAAAAAAUUAAUUUUUAAUUCAAACUUGAUAUCAAAAAUUAAAUUUAAUUUCAUAAUUUAAACUCUAAUUUUAAUUUUAAUGUAAAAGAGAUAAAUAAAAAUGCUAUUUUUUAACCAAUUGAUUAUAACCAUUUGUUUCUAUUUGAGAUAUUUUUUAACAAAUUGAUUAUAAUCGUUCGUAGAAUUGAAUUUAUAGUAUAACGCCCCAAUAGUCCCAUUGUCACGCCCCGGAUUACUAGUUCCCCGGGCACGCCGACAAAUCCACCGUAUACAAAGAAAUUUUUCCUGUAUACGUAGCGAUAGCUGUACCUGUAAAACAUACAAUACUACAAACAGUAGUAUAGAGCUGCUAGAAGAACCAGUAAGUAAAAACGAAUCGAGUUUCAUAUACAUACAUUAAAUCCAAAAUACAAAACUACUCGCACUGGCGAGUUAAAUAACAGUAUGUACAUGAACUCCAACAAAACAACUACCUGCUGUCACGCCCCGGAUUACAUGUUUCCCGGGCACGCCGACAAAUCCGCCGUAUACAAAGAAAUUUUUCCUGUAUACGAAGCGACAGUUGUACCUGUAAACAUACAAUACUACAAACAGUAGUAUAGAGCUGCUCGAGUAAACAAAAGCUAAACAAACUGAGCUUCAUAUACAUAGUUUAAAAAUCAAAUACAGAGUUACUCGCACUGGCGAGUUAAGUACUAUGUACAUAAGCUCGAAAUAAAAAAACUACCUGCAGUAGGGUGCCUCUAGCUCUGCUCGGCGGGUAGGGCUCUAACUCGUGACGCCCUUGCCUCGAUCCUGAUCCGCGGAAGGCGCAGCAGCCAAAACCUGUGGCUCUGCAAAACAUGGGUAACAACUGGGCGUGAGAACUACUGUAAAAACAAGUAGUCCUCAGUGGGUGCCGCCCAAAACAACAUCGGUCUGCCCACCAAGUUUACAAAAGGGAGUAAUGGUAAAAGUAAAAUGCUGGAAUGAACUCUACAGCUACUAGUCACUACACCAUCCUGCUCUAUACUAACCCACUGUAGGAAAUGUCAAAACUGACCCAAUUCGAUCGGGACUGUAAACAUACCCGUCCCGGGGACUGUGAAUACAUCCGUCCCUGUCCAGUUGUGACUAUCCAGCUACCUCCACACUAACUGGUCCGUGGAGAGCAAGUCCAACCGGCAUGAGCGACACCAAGGCGAAAGCACAAAGCCCGUCUCCGGAGUGGCACUCGUGUGCGCUACUCAACCGAGUAUGCAGCGUAUCUCUGUCGAGCUGAAACAGGCUCUGAAAAGCCAAAAUCAAGUAACCGACUCUAACUGGUCUAACAACCAACCGUUCACGUGCCCUCGGCACAAUCUGUCGCCAAAAAGGCGAUCCGGGUCCACCGUCAACCUGACGGCACUCAACAGUUCGGAGCAGCCCAAACGACCCUAUAAAAAUUCAUUCGGCAUACCAGUACGAGUGUAAAUGUAUGCUAAACUACCUGGAGUACUCGUCUCGAGGAUACUGCGACAGUACAAUUUUAUAACGGCUCCUAGAGCUAAAUCAGGCANAUGCUAAACUACCUGGAGUACUCGUCUCGAGGAUACUGCGACAGUACAAUUUUAUAACGGCUCCUAGAGCUAAAUCAGGCAGUUUAAACAAGUGACAGUCCAAAUCGCAGGUUUUCUCCUAAUUCCAAUAUCAUGUCCAACAUGUAUAAACUACUCAAUUUAUUACCACAUGCUCCAAAUUCAGAUUUACAAUCUAUAAUAUAAUCCAUGAAUUCGAGCUAGAAUAGAUUAUACCAAAAAUCGAAAUUUAUACAUGUCGACGAUUAGAAAUUAGAAGUCAAAACCGAUGUAACCCACCUCAAAGCUAGCCUGGCAGCACGGAACUCCCUCGGCUGCGACACAACCUGCUGGAUUGACUGAAAAUGUCCGAGUCUCGAAAUCAGCUAUCUCUGUAACCCCCGAGGUUUCGGAAGAAAUAUCGAGCUUUAGCCAAAUUGGCUAAAGCAUGCGAAUAAGAUGAAUGGACGAGUUCCAAUUAAUAUUCUAUCAAGGUUGGAGGGGUUAAGAUGAGUUCAAAAAGAGUUAGAAAGAUUUUAGCGUUGUUCGGCGCGAAAUAGAGUCGAAAACAAGCUAAAAACCAAGUCUGGAGCAUUGUGUACCGGUACAAGUUGAUGGUUGUACCGGUACAACAAGCGACCCGAAGAAUAGCAACUCUCGGGUUUGAGUGAAAAAGGCUGUUAAACCGGUGACACGGGAAAGUGUACCGGUACACUUUGGCAGAAUGGCAUAGAAUUAGUCUGCUGCAAUUAUAAAUGAUUGGAGGGGUUUAUUUGCAAUUGUUACCUAAUGUAAUAGCCCUAAACCCCUCUCCCUCACAGCAGAUCUCUCCCUCUCUCUCUCUCUCGUGUCUCUCCCUCUCUCUCAACCGGUUGCAAGAAAAGAGAAGGAAAAAGAGAAGAGAAGAAAGGAAAAGAAGAAAAGAAGGAGAAGAUGGAGGAGAGGAAGAGGAUCAUCACCAUCAUCAUCCUCUUCAUCUUCUUCUCUCCUUUGGAGCUCUAGGAGAGGUAAGCUUCCAAGCCUCUCAUGGUAGAUUUUUGUAAUAUGGGUUUUAAACCCUAGAUCUUUGGUUUUGAUCUACCUACAAGCUUUAGAACUUCGUAGAGGCCAAGAACACAUGAAAUCCAUGGUGUUCUUCAUGAUGCUCUAAUGGUGGAUUUCUAGGGUUUGUUCUAAACACCCUAUGAACGGUUCUAAUGGUCCUAAAUGAGCUCUAAGAACUUGGACAAGCUCUCUUUUGCUUGUUUUAUAGAUCGAAAUCGGAGUAUUGAGCAUAUGUCAUAUUAGGGCAUCCCAAAGAGGGGUUUUGCUCAUAUGGGGUUUUGAACUAUUUUUACCACUUGGAAACCUAAUUGGGGACCUAACGAACGCGAUGAAACGCUCGGUUUGACAAUCCGACGAGUGUAUGCGAAGUUAUUGACGAAACGGUCAGUUUUGGUACAGAUAGCCGCAGCACGCGGAAUAAGUGUCUAAAAAUCGUGAGAUCGGAACCGGAGCAUCUUGGAGUCAAGGAAUAAGCACCGGAAAAGACGGAUGGCGAUUCGGAGGUCGUUCGUUAAGUCGCGCAAGAGUUCGGGCCCAAACGGGUCCCGAGUGCCGCGGGAGGCCGAUUGCAAGUGUCGACGAGCAAUCGGAACGCGUUAAGGGUGGGUUGUGCUUACCGAAGCGACUAGGUUGCCCUUUAUGUCCUAGCAAUGUAAUCUCAUGUUGAUACAUGUGCAUGUAGACAAGACUAAAUGGUGCAUUAAUAAAUAUGCAUAGAGUAAAUGCAAGUAAAGUAAAGAAUGCAUGAUCAGCAUGAUAAAUAAAUAAUGCAAGCAAGUAAUUGAAAUGCAUGAUGAUAAUAAUGCAUGUUAAAUAAUGAUGCAUAGAGCCAUGCUAGUAAAUGUUAAGUAGAGAGCAUGAUUAAUAUAAGAUGCAAAUGCUAAAUGGAAAGCAUGCUAAGUAAUUAAUGCUAGUUGAUGUAGAGAAUGCAUGUACUAAUUAUGCAUAGAUGGAAAUGCUAAGUAGAGAGCAUAAUGAGCAUAGCAUGUAUAUAAUGCUAGUUAAAGUAGAGAAUGCAAAGUAGAAUCAAUAAGACUAAGUAAUACAAUGAUAACUCCUAGUGUAAAAUAGAGUAUUGGACAACUAGCUUCAACGAAGAUCGAGGUGCAUCUACCUAAGUUUAAAGACUUAGGUGAUUAGUAAACGUAGAGAUCGACACAUCUUAGUGUGUGGCAUUUGACCUAACGUGUUAUAAACCUAGUGAACUAUCAAACCCCUAGAAUUGAAUCAAGUAGGCGAAGAUACAAAACCUAAAGUGUAUCUAGGUUAAGUGAUGUGACAUAGAACCUAGGAGUAUUGGAACCUAGGUGAUAGUAUAUGGUAUCGCCAGCAGAUAGCUACGUCAUAGUAUAGGUUGCAUGAACCCUCAAGACCUUGUGUAAAGUGGAUUCCGAACUCCCAGACUUAUGAUGUCCCUGUUACAUGCUAGGGCGUUCGUGCGGGGAGCCACAUAUUGCCGCGAGCUUGAUCCGUGUAUAGUUGGGCGGCAUCACAUGAGAUAUCCGCGCCCGGGUUGAACGCAUUUCGUGGCGUUUGUGCGGACGUUUCGCCGCCGAAUGUUAAGCCGUUUUGAGGAUCAACUCGCCAGAGUAGACUGAAUCUAUGGCUGUAAGUAACGAUGCGGUGCCUCCAGUGACAUAGUCUGACAUGGCCGUUGUUCGGGUGUGGUGCGUACCUGUUCCCCGCCAACGUAAUGUCAUGUCCUCGAAGCUCACGCGGUGGUAAUGGCAACGGAUCGCCACGUGGAUGUCAAGUCUGUGAACUCGAGACCGUGUUCAGCGUGUGCAAUUGAAGCGUAUUCGGCACGCUAGGAGGCUGAGUCAGAGAGAGUGGCGGGAUCUUGUCGAGCAGCCAUCGCGCUACUAUCCGCGGAUUAUUGACAUCGUAACGAUCGGUGUUUAAAUAUUACUAGGUAGAGGAACCCUUAAUGAGCUAGAAAGAUAAGAGCCUAGCUAAGUAAAAUAGAAACUUAGAACUAGUGGUUGGUUUGUGACCUAAAGAAAUGAAGAAACCUUAGAGUAAAGUUAAUACUAAAGUACUAAUAAAAAGUAAAUUAAAAUGAUCUACAUAGAUGUUGCAGUUGUUCAUAUGCAAUACGUGAGCAGUCAUGUAAUUAUCAAUUGAAAUAUAUAUAUAUAUAUUGUAUGUUGUAUAUUGUUGAACUAACAGUUCAGGCUCCUCGACCAUCGUCGAGCUUUUCCCUUGCGUGGCCGUACCCACGGGAACCAUGGAGUUGGUUCUCACACAACGUUUGUUUUGCGGAUUUUCAGGUCGUAUCUGGCGCGGCGCGCGCGCGAGGCGAGGGCGUAGCUCAGUAGAUAGCGCCCCACCACAGAGACCGAGGUAGCAGUACCCUGAGGCAGUCUAGCUUAGGGGUCUAGAAGACAAGGAAAAGAAAAUGUAUCAAACUUGUAAACUCUGAUGUAAUAAUGAGAUUGUAAUUUGGAAGUUAAAAUGUAGACUGAAACUGUGAUGUAUAACGUGAUUGUGAAAUGAAUGCUUGUAAUAGCAAGUAGAUUAUGUAUUUGAUACUUCCUUAUGCAAUCUGGAUUGAUAUCCGUUCCUUAUUGGAACAUUCGUUGAUUGUUUGGAUUGCGACGCCUUGGACGUACUGGGGAGACUCUAUCCGCGUACAGGGAAAUUCCCGGUCCGUUCGGCGGUCUGUCGGCGGCGCCGCGACCCGGUCCAAAUUGGCGGUUGGUCGCGGGGCGUGACAAUCUCCAAGCUAUGAACAUCGAAAAUCCACCAUUCAGUCCAAAUAUACAGCAGCAGAGAAGAGAAGGGUUUCGACCAAGCUAACCUUCACCAAAAUCCACAAGUAAGGGCUUCAUGAUUUCUCUCGCAGUCCCAAAUCCAACGAACCAAGUCUCGUCGCAAUCCGACACUUCUACGUCGAGUACGAGCUGAAAUACUAACGGUCGACUGCGAAUUUCAGCAAAACAGCAUCCUGGAGCUCGAAGAAGUAAAAACUAGCCAAAACAAAGGAAGUGCUAGAUAACCAACCUCGACCGCGACUAGCACUGGUGCGACGUCACAAACGGCGAAAAUCCGCACUCGCCCGGCCUCCUCGCGAUGCAACGGCGGCAACCGUAUCCUCGAACGGCUCCGCGGCGCGACGUCGGCGACGAAAGCUCCAACCGAGCCCUUCCUUGCCUUCAACCGGAUGAGAGUGAGAGAGAGAUGAAGAUGGAGCAAAAUGGCUCCUCUCUCUCUCUACGCAAAGCUAUAUAGAGAGAAAGAGAGUUGGUGAUACAAACGAGGGAUAAAAUUACCCAAUUAGCCCUUUACCUACCCUCUUGUACCGGUGCACGGGCUCCUGUACCGGUAUAAGAGCCAACCCGAGAGCAACUUGUGCGUAGCCUCGCUGGUUGUACCGAUACAGCCACGUUGGUUGUACCGAUACAGCAAGCGGAGAAAUCUGCUGUUUUGCAGAUUUCUUCGCUAUAAGCUGCCCUCGCGUCGCACGGAGUCUGUUUUGCGUCUAUUUGACGCAAACGGAACUCGCACUUGUCCCGACACUCUCCAGAGCUGCCGACAAGCCACCACAGCUGUACACCAGGGACCUCACACCUGCAGUAGGAGCACCUCUAGCUCGGCUUGUUGGGUAGGCCUCUAACUCGUGACGCCCUUACCUCGAUCCUGAUCCGCAACAGCAGCAGCCGAAGACGAUUGCUCUGCAAAAACGGGGUAAAAACAGGACGUGAGAACUACUGUAAAAACAAGUAGUCCUCAGUGGGUGCCGCCCUCAACAACAUCGGUCCACCCACUAAGUCUACAGAAGAGAGCAAAGGUAGAAUAAAUGCUGGAAUAAAAUCUACAGCUACCAAUUAUUACACUAUCAUGCUCUAAGCUGACCUACUGUAGUAAUGUCACAUCUGACCCAAUCUCUUUAGGGACUGUAAACAUACCCGUCCCAGAGACUGUGAACACACCCGCCCCGCCUAGUUGAGACUAUCCAGCUACCUCCACACUAAUCAGUCCGUGGAGAGCAAGUCUAACUGGCAUGCACGACACCUAACACAAAGUAUGGCGCCCGAUACGGAGUGCACUCGUGGAGCUACCCAAAGCCGAGAUGUCAGCAUACUAAUUGUGAGUUCAAUCCAGGCUCUCUCAAGCCAAAGUCAAGUAACCGCUCUAACUGUCAAUAACCAACAGGCACGCCGCUGCGGCACAAUCCGACCGCCAAAAGGCGAUAUGUGCACGUCCACGCCCGAAGGCACCCAACAGUCCCGAACAGCUGAACCUACUAGUAACAAUACACAUCGCAUCACAGCACGACACAUGAACUCUAUUACCUGGGUAUCCGCAUAUCGAUACUGCGACGAUACAAAUUAAAACGCUCCUAGAGCAAAUCAGUAUUUUAACGAAUAUGAACAUUUAUAUUCUCGGUUUCUCCUAAAUCAAAUCCAAUCCAACCAUAUAAUAUAUGGUUACUAAUCAUGUCCUCAAUGCUAGAUUAUACCAUUGAUACAAUUAACUCGAAAUUGAUGCUAACAACAUGAUUACAAAACUGGAAUCAUACAUGUCAACUAAUACGUGUGCUUAGAAUAACCGAUGUAUACCCACCUCCUAAAACUAUACUAAUAUUAAUAGUAUUGAGCCCUCGUAGCUCCAAUAAGUUGUUUCCAAUGAUGACUUUCCGAAUCGACGAUACCACUUCGUUACAAUUGAUCUAAUAUUUGAAACUUCUAGAAAAUAAAUUUCGUAAAUUUUUCGUAAUCAUAAUAAAGUCCAUCAGUGGCUAAAAUGAACGUGCAAAUCGGAACAGACGUCCUAAAAAGGAUGAUCGGAGUACCUUUUCAAUUAAGAUCGGAGUUAUUGAUCUUAUCUAUUGGUGAUUAAGAUUUUUAUCAAACAAUUCACAAAUUUUGAUUCUUUAAACCUAAAUCUAGCAAUUAUCCAUAGCUCAACCAAAAUUAUGUCACAAUUGUGCACCUCUUGAUCCGCAAGGUUAAUGAUGUCGAAAUAAUUAUAAAAAUUUAAUUUUUAGUAAGUUUAAAUGCUGUAAUAACGUUAUACGUGUGAAUCGUUUGAUUUGAGCUCUAAAUCAUCCGAAAACAACUUGUGAGUACGAGGCGAAUCGUACUCAUAAUAGUAUUUAUAUAUAAGUAUAUAAUAUAUAUAUAUAUAUUAUAGUAUUAUAUAUUAUAUAUAUAAAUGAUAUAUAUAUAUAUAUAUAUCAUAUAUACACGUGUUGGACUGCUAUAUAUCAGGUAAUACGGAGAGCUUCCGUGCAUACAAGUUGUUUCGAUGAUAGCGAGUUUCCCAAAUGAUCGAUUGCUCCAUUAGACUGAUCAUACUAUUGAAAGUUUUGGAAUUAACAUUUUAAUAGAUUUUUCCGAUCAUUAUUAGCUAGUGAUAACAAGUCUCAAAUUGAGAUGUGAUUGCAUUUGUAAAUUUAACGGUGUAAAAUAAUCCAAAUCAGAUGAAAUUUUUUAAAAAUUUUUUUUUUACUAUUUAGAGUAAGAUCAGUACUUCUGAUCUUAAAUUCAAGUCUUCUAUCAUUAUUUUUUAUGAGAUUUUUAUUUUCAGUUGUUCAUUUUUAGACUACUCGUUUGAUAGGUAAAUAAUACCUAAAAAUUAUGAAAUUUAGUUUUCAAAUACUUUCAAUAGUGUAGAUCAAGUCUAACGGAGGCGAUCGUCCAUUUGAAAAUGGCAUCAUUGAAAACAACUUGGUAGCACAGAGGUGUCCGUGCUACCGAUAGUAUAGCAGAUAUAUAUAGUCCGGCUGGAAUACUAUCGAUAGCACAAAGGAUUUGGUGCUAUCGAGUUUUCUACCAUUAGAUUUAACCCUUCGAGUAAUUUUACCCAUUAGAUUAUACUAUUCAACCAACCACUCACACAACCCUAGGGGGCCUACAUCAUCCUAACCACACAUUUCUCAAUCCAAAGGCUAAUAGAAGCAAUAACUUAGUGCUAUUAAUAGUAUUUCAGCCUAGUUCUAUAUAUAUAUAUAUAGAGAGAGAGAGAGAGAGAGAAUCCGGCUACUAUACUUUUAUGAGUAUUGGCUCUCUUAUACUCAUAAGUUUUCGGCCCUUCGAUUUAUUCUAUUGAUCAUUUUCAUCCGUUAGAUCAUACUAUUCAACCAACUACCUACUCAACCGUAGGGGACCGCUAUCAUUCUAAGUGAGGACCACCAUCAUCCUAACCACACAUCCCAUCAAUCAACGGUUAAAAAUUUAUGAGUACAAGGGGGUCUAUACUCAAAAGAGUAUAGUAGCCCCAACCUAUAUAUAUAUAUAUAUAUAUAUAUAUAUAUAUAUAUAUAUAUAUAUAUAUAUAUAUUGUCACAUAUAAUCAAACACAUGGCUUAAGAAUUUCUCCAUUUUUUCCUGCUCCAAUGCAAUCCAGACAUUUAUGCCACCCCUCAUUCCCAUGCCAUUUCCCCCAGAGAGAAGCAGCACAAACUCAUCCAUCCCACUAACCACAGGCCCACCAUAAACUGGCUUUCCACACCCAAAAUCCAACUCAUGGAAUGGAAGCUUCCACCAGGCAGAUACAAAAAAGUUUCCAUUCAGAGUAGAGNUAUAUAUAUAUAUAUAUAUAUAUAUAUAUAUAUAUAUAUAUAUAUAUAUAUAUAUAUAUAUAUAUAUAUAUAUAUAUAUAUAUAAUCAGUCUUACAUGAUUAAAUAUUCAACAUAUAUAAACGGGCCAUUACAAAAGAAAAAAAAAAUAUAAGUUAAAAGAAAAUAAAAAAGGUCGUUUUUUACUCGCAAAACCCCAAUGUACAAUUCAUUGGAAGUGGAUACCUUGCUAACUGUUAGCUGGCGAGAGAGAAGACAGCUAGGAAUGCAUGCACGUCCCAAAAGGCGAAGAUAUUAUUGUCUGCAUCCCACCAAUACAGCAUUGCAUUUCGUACAUUGUUCUUUUUCAGCCACUUAUCCUCCUCCACAUUUCAAUCUCAAUCUUUGGGGUUUGAGUCUUCAAUUAUUUUCUUCUAUUCCUUCUGAACUUGCUCUCUGGUGUUUUCUACUUAAAUAGCAAGUCUCAACACCCAAACUUAUAGCUGCAAUAACUAAUUCAAAUUUAUAGUCACUACAACAGAAUUAGAUUAUAGGGACAUAUGUUUGGGACACUUUUGAGUAAGUGUCACAUUUAUUCUAAAACUUAAAAACAGAUCUACUAAUGCUUAAAUAUAAAGCUCAAUCCAACUAAAAAUAAAAGAUUACUCUACUUAAUCCACCACACCCAGUUUAUUUGGCCCGAUUACAAACAGAAAAGAAAAAAAAAAGAAAAAUCAAUUACCAUCUUUUCUUCUCUCUUCACUCAAUCCACUGAAAUUCUAGACGAAGAGUCUUUACUGUCGUCCUUCUCCGCCACCGCAGCCAACGAGAUAGAGUUUCGACGGUUGCUAAAUGUUUAAAUAAGUGUUGGUAAAUUAGCAGCACUCUUUUAGGUUAUAGCGACACUCUUUAACUGUCACUAUAUACCUAGCGACCCCACAUAUAGCAACACUUUUUAAAAGUGUCGGUAAUUUUAGCUAGCAGCACUUUUUUGACAUGUACCUACAUUUAAAAGUGUUGCUAUAGACCGUUUUUGUUGUAGUGAGUAACUUAUUCAUUACAAAAAAUUUUCUGUGCGGUUAAAAGUAACGAAUUCGAUUUUUGGAAUUCUAGGCAUUCACGAUUUGGAUAAUAUAUUUUACCAACAAUAAUAUUUAUCUUAUUUUGAAAAAACUAAUCUAAAGAUCAGAUAUGGUUACGUACUAGAAAUACGAACACACAUCUUAACUACCAAAUUCUAUAUAUAUAUAUAUAUAUACCAAAUAAAUAAAAUAAGAUUAAUAUUUAUACAUCUUGUUUUGUAGGCACUAAAAGCUGUAUCCUUUCGAGUCCACACGGAGAGAAAGAGUUCAACUGGUACAGUGCGAAGCGAGGGGGGUUGUGGGUGCGCUUGUUUUUCUUUUUAUUCUCUCCUCUGAUUGCGUUUAGAAUUUGCUCCCGAACAUUUCCUAGCUCUGGACCCAACUCGAUCAAGCUGGGUCAGGUUUGAACUGUGCCACAUGGCACGUAGUGAGUGGACGAAUACCACGACUUUAUUAUAUUAUUAUUAUCAUUAUUUUUCCCACGUAUCCUCAGAAAUAUAUGGGGAUGCAACUAUGUGGAUAUUCAAUGCCCCAGUUUCAUGGACACACGAUUCUACAAAUUCCCAUGAAAUUGAAUGCUGCUAAAAAAAUAUCUUUAUCUAUAGUAGUAGAAUAUCAUANNNNNNNNNNNNNUCUUUCUUUUUUUUUUUCUACUAAUUUAUGGAGAGAUUGUUUUUUUAUAAUUUAUUGUAAUUUUUUUUUCAUUAUAGUUUUUUCUUUCUCAUUAUAAAAAUUUAAAAUAAUUUUUCAGAAGAGAUAAUAUGAAUGAAAUAUUAGAGUUUAGAGUGUUAGAUGUUUAUUUUAGAAAUUUGAAGGCAAAGUAAAACUCUGUAAAAGCUCAAGGGUAACCGUGCAAUUUACUUAUAUUUUAGACAUCAACUUUUACUGCUAUUAUAAAUAUAAUUUAUUAUUUUUUAUAAAUUUUUUAUUUUUUUAUAUUUUUCUUAUAUCUUUAUUCUUAUAUUUUACUGUAAUAGCUGCUGCUUCUUCUUCAGUUUUUUUUUUAUUUUUGACUCAUCACUUUUUUUUGUUGUUCUGUUAUUUUAUUUAUUUAUUAAUUUUGCAAUAUCGAUGGGCUGCAACGCACGAGUUUUUUUACUAGUUCACAUUAUAGGCAUGUUUGUUAUAUAUAUCAAAAAUAAAGGAAAAAAUAAUUAUGUUAUUUUCGACCAUAGAUGUCCACUUUUGUUUUAUUUGAUUCACCAUCAGGUAUAAUUAUUUGUAACUCUUAUUUUCCAAAACUUGGAAAUUUAUUCUUCGGAAGAUGACAAAGCCAAUUAAAGGGUGUAUUGUUUUUGUGAAAACCAUCAAAAAAUUAUUUUUCGCUUGAAAUUUUUUUAUGUAUUUGUUUUCUCAUAAAAAUAUUUUUUUAUAAAUUAAUUUUAUAUAUUUGCUGAAAAUUUGGGCUUUUGUUUUUCGCCUGUAGCGGGCGAAAAAUGAAAACUCUCCCACUGAAAAAAUGCGGCGCAAGGUCCCGGCCGUCGAGCUCACAACAAGAGGUGGGAAUGUGUAGACCAAACUCCUCUUUAUUUCGUUAGAAUGUUGCAUACACCACGUGCAUUAUAUUGUGCACCAUUUCUUUUCAUGUAUCAAUUAUUUUUCACUAUAUUAUAUAAUCCCUGCUAUUGAUAUUUAGUAACAGUUAAAUUAACAUUAUAAGAUAAGCUAGACGCGUUAUUAAAUUGGAGUGCAUUGGUGAACUAGGUGUACACAACAAUAUUCGUCAUUCUAAUAGAUAUUCACUCAUUUUAAUUGGAUAAUAUAUAUAUAUAUAUAUAUAUAUAUGUAUAGACUCUAGAGUAGGGCUACUAUACUCUUAUGAGUAUAGAACCCUUCAUACUCAUAAGUUGUUUUUGAUGUGGGAGUUUUCGAAUCGACGACCCACACUAUUAAACAUGAUCUAGAGUAUUUGAAACUUCUAAAAAAUAAAUUUCGUAAUUUUUCGAAAUCAUUAUAAAGUCCAUUAAGCAGAUAUAAAAUGAACAGGUAAAAUUGAACAACAUCCUAAACAUAGAUGAUCGGAUCCUUCAAUUUAACAUCGAAGUUAUUUAUUCUUAUUUAGGUAGUGAAUAGAAUUUUCUAUCAAAAAUUCAAUCUAUUCCGAUUCUUUUUCACCGUUAAACUAGCAAAUAUCUCAUACCGGCCAUUAAAAUUGUCAGUUUUUAACUAGCAAAUUCAUUUUUUUUUUCUUACUGACCGUCCCUAGAGCAAGUGGAAAAGGGCUUGGUUGUUGGUACCCAUGACUCAAGUUCGAAUCCUAGUUGAUUCACAUUUCCAGCAAAGUUUAUUUCUAAAAAAGAAAAGUCAGUUUUGUGAGCUUUUGAUCGUAAGGUAAAUGAUAUCGAAAAAUUAUAAAAUUUGAUUUCUAGAAGUUUAAAUGCUCUACAUAAUAUUUAAUGGUAUGGAUCGUCGAUCCGGUCGGAAGCUCUAUCAUCGAAAACAGCUUAUAAGUACGAAGGCGAUCGUACUAAUAAGAGUAUAGUAGCCGGACUUUAUAUAUAUAUUAGUUAUAGUGCAUGUGCGAUACACGUCUCAUUUAAUUAAAUUAAAUUUAUACAUAUUUUUUAAAUUUAAAUAAUUAUUGGUGGUAUAAAUCUAUAAAUCAUUUUUUUUUCUAACUUUAAUUUUUUUUUAAUGUGCAUUCAAAUUUUAAAAAUUUGAGGUAUUUCUAAAUUUUAAAUUAAUGAAUUUAGAUUUAAAUUUAUGAACAAAACUCAAAAUAAAUUUAUUUUGAAUCCAUAAUUUGAAUAUAAAUAAUUAUUAGAGAUAUUGAUUUAUUUAUCAUCCUAUCUAUUUUUCAAAUUUGAUAUAUUUUCAAGUUAAUUAAUUAAUUAUUUUCGACUUGAAAUACUGUUACACACCCAAAUAUUAAAAUUUUAAUUAAUUUUAAAUUUUGAAUUAAAAUAUUAAUUCACAUUUGAAAUUAUGAAAACCAAAUUUAAAAUUUAAAAUUGAUUGAUAAGCUUAUUUAAAUCAUUCUAUUUUUCAAACCUAAUUUCUUUUUAGUUAGUUAAUUGAGAGAUAAUGGAUACUAAAUAUUUUUAAUAUUUGUUGCGUAGAAAUAUUCGUUUUUUGAUGAGUAUGGAAUUUUCUUUAUGGGGCGGUUGUAAAAAAAAUAUUUUACAGCAGAUAUUCUUCGGUUGACAUGAAUUUGGAUAAGUAUGAAUUUUUUUUGUUCUUGUAAAUGGAAUGCAAUAUUUUUUCCUACUAAUUAAAAAAAUAUCUGUCAACAACUAUUUUAAUAAUUAUCUCAAAUCAAUAUAAAUUUAUGAAUCACAUUUAUCUACAAAUUAAAAUUUUUAAAUUAUAAAUUCAUAUGUUAUGUCUUAUUGAAAGAUAUCUUAUAUUUUAAAUAUUAGUUGAUAAAAUUGAGAUAAUUUUUAUAUAUUCAUUAAAUAUUAUAUAUACGUAAGGUAUUACGUGAUUGGAUAUUAUGUAGGUGGCGGAUAUUACGUGUGAAAAAGAAUAUUAUUUGUGAUAAAAUACGAUAUUAUGUGGGCGGCGGUUAUUAAGAGAUAGUGUACGUAUAAAAAAAGUGAAAUUUAAUAUUAUUUGUGAUAAAAUACGAUCUUAUGUGGGCAGCGGUUAUUAAGAGAUAGUAUACGUAUAAAAAAAGUGAAAUUUAAUACGCACUAUUUGAGGGAAUUUAGUUAAAAAAAAAUAACAGGUACUAAAUUCAUCAGCCAUUGAAUUAGAUCCAAUAGCUAAAAAUUAAAAUAUUUUAUAAUAAUUUAAAAAUAAAUAAAAUUAUACAAAUUAAAAUAUUUUAUAAGAAUUUAAAAAUAAAAUAAAAAUUAUACGACUGUGACUUAUUCCAUUAAAGUUGAAUGAAUGAUAUUGCUAGUUUGUGAUUGGAAUUAUAUUAAUAGGAAACGGCAUUUUGGGAAAGGAAAAAAUUUUAAAACUCCCUGUUUUAUAAGUAGUAUACUGUAUAUAUAGAGAGAGAGUUUUUUUUUUAGGAGAAAGGUAGCACGCUACCGCUUCACUCAUUGGAUUGAUGAACUAAGCUAUAGAGGUGAGGCAGUUAGAGCCUCGGAAAAAGUGUAAAAAAAAAAAAAACACUACUACUACUACAUGCGCUGCUUUGCAGGGAGGAGGUGAUCCCAAUUCUUCAUCAACUGUUUGAGCUUGUGAACUACUUGCACCAGGUCUGUUUCGAUCUUUCUAAAGAGUGUAUCGUUUCUGGCCUUCCAAAUGACCCACCAGCAGCCAACUAAUUCGGUUAAACUGUUUCUCAAAUAGUGCAUUCCUUUCCUACCCAUCCACCUGUCCCGAACGGAGAUUACGUCAUUCAUUUGUUAGCAAACGGGCUCCGUUGUCAUUCAUUUGUUUUUGAUGAUAGAGCCUCCAAAUCGACGAUCGGCACCGUUGAACAUGAUCUAUACACUUGAAGUGUUUAGAAAUCAAAUUUCAAAUCUUUUUGACAUCAUUUGUCUAAUUAUCAAAAGGUUUCAAAAUUUAUAAUUUUAUUGAUCGAUAUGAGGCGUUUUCUCGUUUAACGGCGUAAAGAUUUUCAAAUCAAUUGAAUUUUUGUUCGAAAAUUCUUUAAACUAUUUAAAACAAGAUCUAUACUCUUGAUCUUGAGUAUAAGACUCCUAUCAUCAUCUUUUAAAGAAUAUUCAUUUAAUCGCACUGGCAUCGAUUUUUCUGUACACUCGAUGGCAAUAAGGGAGAAACAAUGUUCGAAAUGUAUGAAAUUUUGAUUUCUAAACAUUUCAAGUGGUAUAAAUCAUGUUCAUAAUGGUGGUCGAUCGUCGAUUUGGAGGCUCAUAUCGAAACAACCAUGGGAUCCGGUAAUAGAAGCCGCAUAGUCCAUGCCUAUCCGGAUAGUAUUCUCUAGAUAACCUAAUUAUAUCUAUAUAUAUAUAUAUAUUACAGUAUAAUAUACUAUACUUAUAUAUAUAUAAUAUACUAUAUAUAUAGUUAUUAAUAGUAGAUAUAUAGUGGAGGUACCGGCUAUGGUGCUUAAGAAUAAAGAGUUACAGGCACUUGGUGCUUUGUGAUUUUUACCGACUUACGAUCUACAGCCCUUUGAUCAUUUUCCACGCGUUAGACUAUACUUAUUCAACCAUCGACAACCACUCUACACAAGGGGGCCCACAUUAUCACUAGCAUUAUUAACCUAAGAAAAAAAAAAUCAAAAAAAAAAAAACCAAUGGCUUAAAACUACAAGCACAAAUGACUUGGUGUUUUAAAAGAUAGGAGCUCAAUAUAUAUAAUAUAUAUUAUUAGAUUAUAAUAAUUAUAUUAUAUUAUAUAUAUAUAUAUAUAUAUAAUAAUAUAUAUUAUAUAUAUAAAGAAUUAGUAUCACGCCUCGGAUUACACGUUUCUCCGAGCGCGCCAACAGACCCGCCGUAUACAUAGAAAAUUUUUUUGUAUACGAAGUGAUAGUUAUAUUUGUAAUCAUACAAAACUACAACCAGUAGUAUAGAGCUGCUAACAGAACUAAAUAUAAAUAAAUAUCAGGUUCACUAUACAUACAAAGUCUCUAAAAUACAGACAUUACUCGCUCUAGCAAGUAAACAAGCAUAAAUAUGUACAUGAACCAACCCAAAAUUACCUAUAGAUGGUACUCCUCUAGGACUGCAACUAGAGAAUGGAUCUAACUCGCAACUCCCUUUCCAUGGUCAGUAUCAGCGAUAGCAGCAGCCGCAGAAGAAGGCUCUACAAAAAGCGGUUAACAAUUGGGUGUGAGAACUACCGCAAAAAGAAGUAGUUCUCAGUGGGUACCGGUACCGACCUCAACGGCUCACCCACUAAGUCUACAGAAAGCAUGAAUAAGGAUAGUAAAAGAUGCUGGUAAAACUCUAUAGCUAUAUGCCGCCAUAUUAUCGCUAAACACUAUCUGUAGAUAUAGAAAUGCACUCUCUGACCCAACCUCACUAGGGACUGUGAACACAUCCGUCCCGCCUGUCAAAGCUACACCAACCACCACCACGCUGGGUUGUUGGUGGACAAUAAGUCCAACCAAGACACUACAACAUCAAUACAAACACACUAAGCCCGACUCCGGAGUGGCACUCGUGGGCGCUACCCAACCGAGUUUGUAAGCGUGUCUCUACCGAGCUCAAUCAGGCUCUCACAGGCUAUAAUCAAAGCAACUGGGUCUAACUGGUCUAACAACCAACACUCACAUGCCCUAGGCACAACCGGAUGCAAAAAUAGAAACCUGGAUCCACCGUCAACCGCAAUGGCACCCGACAGUCCAAAAUAGUCUACACACUACUGUAAAAUAAGCUCGGCAUCUCAGCACGAGUGUAAACUCAUCCUACACUAAUCUGGGUAUCCACCGCGUACAAACAGCGGCGAUAUAGACAAACCACAGCUCCUAAAGUUAAAUCUGAUAAUUUUCAGAAAAUGACAGUGUAUGGUUCAAUAGUUUUCUCCUAAGUCAAUUUUCAAGUCCAACAGGUAAAACGAAUCUAGAAUUCAAAGCUCCAACACAGAUUUCAUUAAAGCAAUGCAAAUCGGUGAAUUGAGCUACUAACAUGAUACUACACAGGAAGUUUACAUGUUGACAAAAAUCUACGCUUAGGAGGAAAUCCGACGAUUUCGGUAAACUUCAACCUACCUCGAAAAGCUGUCCAACUACGGCGAGAAGUCGAAAGGAGAGGAAACCACACGCUCGCCCGACUUCUAACAGUGCAACUGCAACGCACGCACGCUCGAACGACCCUCCAAAUCGACGUCGAAAAUCUCCCGAGCUCGAGCCACGGCCUCCACCAAGCACACGAUCAAAACUAGAGAAAGAGAGGAAGCUACAACCAGAAGCUCAUCCUCUGCCUCUCUACACCUAUAUAAAGCGGUGGGGAUAAGGUUGAAGGUAACGACACAUUUCUGCCCAAAAUAUCCUUUACCUACUCACAAAUCCAGCUGGAAUACCGGUACCCGAUUUGGUUACCUGUACUCGGCCUCUUAGCCCGCGCACUCGCACACCGGGUACCGGUACCAGCCCGAUGCUUUACCGGUACUCAGCAUCAAUUGGCGCAACCCGAGAGCAUGCUGUCCAAGAUUUACACUGGGGUACCGGUACUCCCCUGCAUGGUACCGGUACUCAAUACUAAAAAACCUGCACUUUGCGGAUUCCAAUAUCAAUACACUGCUCUCGCGUCGCACCGAGUCCGUGUUGCGUCCAUUUCGCGCCAAAAUGACUCCGACUUGUCUCGACACUCUCCAAAUGUGUCGACAAGUCUAAGAUACUGAAAUCUCACUAGCAACCAACCACUAGGGAUACUACAAUUAGACUGGAAUGCUUAUAAUAGCACUAAGUUAUUGGUGCUAUUAGGUUUUCAGCCUUUGCAUGAAGAGAUGUGUAGUUAGAAUAAUGGUUGUCCCCUAAAGUUGAGUUGGUGGUUGGUUGAAAAGUUGAAAAGUAUAAUCUAAUGGAUGAAAAUUGCUAUUAGAAGCAUCCCAAUCGUACUCUCUCUCUCUCUCUCUCUCUCUCUCUCUCUCUCUCUCUAUAUAUAUAUAUAUAUAUAUAUAUGAACCCACGACCCUGUGAACGCGAUCGUGGAGGCCUCGGCGGACGCCUGCUACUCGACUGACCUCCGUCGUCUGGAGCUGGGCGCUUCCUGUCCUUACUCUGUCCCGGCCCCUGAGUCCUCUCCCGCAGCGACACCUCUCCUUUCUCCUCCCAUAAUGCCUGCUCAAUGGACGCAUCCAAAGUCCUCGACCUCUGCGCCCUGACGAACCUGAAUAGAUCGGGUCUCAAACCCUGCUCGAACAAAUAGACCCUAUGUGCCUCAUCUCUGGCUACAAACGGAACACAGUUCAGGAGUCUAGUAAACUCCCGAACAUACUCCUGAACUGUCCGCUCGCCCUGCUGGAUCCUGUUCAAGUCCUCCUCAAUUUUUUGUUUCAUGCUGUUGGGAAAAUAUAUCCCAUACAGCAUUCCACAGAACUCAUCCCACCUCAGCUGCGCCGCCACCAGUCCCUGGUCUCGCCUCGCUCUCCGCCACCAAUCACGUGCAUCACCUGACAAACAGUGUACUCCCAGUGGUACCUGCUCCCCCUCUGGAACGAACAGAUCCUCAAAUAACCUCUCCAUCGCACUGACCCAUCCCUCAACAACCCAGGCCUCAGUGCCGCUACCAUCGAAGAUCGGUGGGUCAAAGCGCCGGAAACGGGCUAAUCUCUCCGUCCACCGCUCCUGCUCGGCCUCAGUCAACGGUACUGGCCCCCUAGCAGGCGCGACUGGCGCUACUGGAACUGCUGCCGACGGAGGAACUGCUGCAGCUGGUAUGAUCACUGGAGUAGUCGGUGGUAGAACAGUCUGCUCUGGUACACUCGGUGCUGAACUCGGUGACUGAGAUAUCCUCUCACACAACCUCUGCAACAACUCCCCGUGCUGCCUCUUCACCUCAGUCAGGGGAGCCAGCUGUGCACUCAGAUCCGAGGGUGUGCUAGCCUCAGGUCGCGCACUCGGCUCCAUAGCAGGGGGUGCACUCGCCUCCGGUCGGGCCCUCUACUCCACAACGAGAGUGCACUGCCUCUACUUGCUCCGGCAUCUCACGAGGUACGGCACGAUCCUGAGUCAACUGUGCACGAUCCCGCGUAGACGGUCGACCUCGGCGACGAUACAUAGCUGCAAGGAACAGAUCGGGGUCAGUUGAAACACAAACACUCUUGACCCAAUCAACGAAAGUCUGGAAGGCAGUUCCUGUUUUCCUCCAAAAUUAUGUCGUCUGCAGCCAACAUAAUUUCUCAGGCCAAAACAGAAACUCCUUCAGUCACUCACUCCACUAUAGGAGGAGUUAGAACAAAUAAUCAUUGACUUUCGCAAUUAAAUUACGCCUCUCGAGUCUUGCUUUCCUAAGGUUUGCCAACUUAGGUUUCCUAGGUCCCAACGACCUACAGCAAAGCUCUGAUACCAACUUAAUCUGUCACGCCCCGGAUGUCUCGUUCCCCGGGCACGCUGACAAAUCCGCCAUAUACAAAGAAAAUUUUCCUGUAUACGAAGCGUCAAAGUGCCUGUAGAAAUACAAUACUACAAACAGUAGCAUAGAGCUGCUCAAAAAAUAAGCUAAAUAUCGGAGUUUCAUAUACAUAACUAGAAUCCAAAAUACAAAGCUACUCGCACUGGCGAGUUAAACAACUAUGUACAUAAACUCCAAAACAAAACUACCUGCAGUAGGGGAAAGCCUCUAGCUCUGACUGUCGGGUAGGGCUCUUAGCUCGCAACGCCCUUACCUCGAUCCUGAUCGGCAGAAGAUGCAGCAGCCGACACCUGUGGCUCUGCAAAACAUAAGUAACAACUGGGCGUGAGAACUACUGUAAAAACAAGUAGUCCUCAGUGGGUACCGCCCAAAACGACAUCGGUCACCCACUAAGUCUACAGAAGGGAGCAAGGAUAGAAGGAAAAGCAGGAAGUACACUCUACCGCUAUCAUCCACUACACUAUCAUGCUCUACACUAACCAACUGUAGGAAAUGUCAAAUCUGACCCAAUCCAAAUCGGGACUGUAAGCAUACCCGUCCCCGGGACUGUGAAUACACCCGUCCCUGCCCCGUUGCGACUAUCAAGCUCUAUCCUCACUAACUGGUCCGUGGAGAGCAAGUCCAACUAGCAUGAGCAACACCAACGCAAAAGCACAAGCCUGACUCCGGAGUGGCACUCGUGGGCGCUACCCAACUGAGUAUGCAGCGUAUCUCUGUCGAGCUCAAACAGGCUCUGGAAAGCCAAAGUCAAGAAAUCGACUCUAAACUGGUCUAACAACCAACAGGUAACAAUACGACAACCAGUACCUUGAAGCAGCACGACGUCAAAGAUGGCGAAAAAAAACAACUCGCCCGACCUCCUCGCAGCAACACGACGACGGAAGUAUGCUCGAACGGCUCCGCGGCGCGACGUCAGCGACGAAUCCGAGCUCCCUCUUGCCUUCAACCGGAUGAGGGAGUUAGAGAGAUGGAUAAAAGCAGCUAGAAGACCUCUCUCACUCUCUCUACACGAAGCUAUAUAGAGGGGAGUGAGGGGUGAUACAAACGAGGGAUAAAAUUACACAUUUAGCCCUCUACCUACCCUCUUGUACCGGUACACGGGCUCCUAUACCGGUACAAGAGCCAACCCGAGAGCAGCUAAAUUCGGUGCGCGCAUCUUGUACCGGUACAGCAACCUCUUGUACCGAUACAACAAGCAGUCCUGCGAUGGUUGUACCGGUACAGCCUGCCCUUGUACCGGUACAGCGAGCAGAAAAUCCUGCUGUUUCGCAGAUUCUCUCGCAGAAUGCUGCCCUCGCGUCGCACGGAGUCCGUUUUGCGCCUAUUUGACGCCAACGCGACUCGAACUUGUCCCGACACUCUCCAGAGCUGCCGACAAGCCUCCACAGCUGAACACCAGGGAUCUCACAUAAAGAAUUAGUGUCACGCCUCGGAUUACACGUUUCUCCGGGCGUGCCAACAGACCCGCCGCCGUAUACAUAAAAAAAUUUUUUGUAUACGAAGUGAUAGUUGUAUUUGUAAUCAUACAAAACUACAACCAGUAGUAUAGAGCUGCUAACAGAACUGAAUAUAAAUAAAUAUCAGGUUCACUAUACAUAUAAAGUCUCUAAGAUACAGACAUUACUCGCUCUAGCAAGUAAACAAGCAUAAGUAUGUACAUGAACCAACCCAAAAUUACCUAUAGAUGGUACUCCUCUAGGACUGCAACUAGGGAAUGGAUCUAGCUCGCAACUCCCUUUCCACGGUCAGUAUCAGUGACAGCAGCAGCCGCAGAAGAAGACUCUGCAAAAAGCGGUUAACAAUUAGGUGUGAGAACUACCGCAAAAAGAAGUAGUUCUCAAUCGGUACCGGUACCGACCUCAACGGCUCACCCACUAAGUCUACAAAAAGCAUGUACAAGGAUAGUAAAAGAUGCUGGUAAAACUCUAUAGCUAUAUGCCACUAUAUUAUCGCUAAACACUAUCUGUAGAUAUAGAAAUGCACUCUCUGGCCCAACCUUACUAGGGACUGUGAACACACCCGUCCCGCCUGUCGAAGCUACACCAACCACCACCACGCUGGGUUGUUAGUGGAGAGUAAGUCCAACCAGGACACUACGACAUCAACACAAACACACUAAGUCCGACUCCGGAGUGGCAUUCGUGGGCGCUACACAACUGAGUUUGUAAGCGUGUCUCUACCGAGCUCAAUCAGGCUCUCACAGGCUAUAAUCAAAGCAACUGGGUCUAACUGGUCUAAUAACCAACACUCACGUGCCCUAGGCACAACCCGAUGCAAAAACAGAAACCUAGAUCCACCGUCAACCGCAAUGGCACCCGACAGUCCAAAAUAGUCUACACACUACUGUAAAAUAAGCUCGGCAUCCCAGCGCGAGCGUAAACUCAUCCUACACUAAUCUGGGUAUCCACCGCGUACAAACAACGGCGAUACAGACGAACCACAGCUCCUAAAGCUAAAUCUGGUAAUUUUCAGAAAAUGACAGUGUAUGGUUCAAUAGUUUUCUCCUAAGUCAAUUUUCACGUCAAACAGGUAAAACGAAUCUAGAAUUCAAAGCUCCAACACAGAUUUCAUUAAAGCAAUGCAAAUCGGUGAAUUGAGCUACUAACAUGAUACUACACAGGAAGUUUACAUGUUGACAAAAAUCUAGGCUUAGGAGGAAAUCCGACGAUUUCGGUAAACUUCAACCCACCUCGAAAAGCUGUCCAACUACGGCGAGAAGUCGAAAGGAGAGGAAACCACGCGCUCGCCCUACUUCUAACAGUGCAACCGCAACGCACGCACGCUCGAGUGACCCUCCAAAUCGACGUCGAAAAUCUCCCGAGCUCGAGCCACGGCCUCCACCAAGCACACGAUCAAAACUAGAGAAAGAGAGGAAGUGUGACACCCUAAUAGUCCCACAUCGGAUGGGAAUGGGUUUGUCAUUGGGUUUAUAAGAGACUUAGACACUAGUAAUAAAAACUGGGCUUAAGCAUUUUGGGCUGGUGUCUGGGCCCAACGAGUUAUUGUUGCUAGUUGGCUGGAUCGUUACAUUUGGUAUCAGAGCCGGUUCACCAGCUGGACAUGUGUGGCGAGUCUCGGCUGAGCCAGGGUCUGGAUGACGGGCUAGCGAGACGAGUCUCACAUCGCCUGGUGAUCUUGGGCUGUGUAUGUGAUUGGACUGACGAGGACAUUAGGGCCUUAACGGGGGGAGUCUGUGACACCCCAAUAGUCCCACAUCGGAUGGGAAUGGGGUUGUCAUUGGGUUUAUAAGAGAUUUAGACACUAGUAAUAAUAACUGGGCUUAAGCAUUUUGGGCCGGUGUUUGGGCCCAACGAGUUAUUGUUGCUAGUUGGCUAGGUUGUUACAAGAAGCUACAACCAGAAGCCCAUCCUCUGCCUCUCUACACCUAUAUAAAGCGGUAGGGAUAAGGUUGAAGGUAACAACACAUUUCUGCCCAAAAUAUCCUUUACCUACUCACAAAUCCAGCUGGAGUACCGGUACCCGAUUUGGUUACCUGUACUCGGCCUCUCAGCCCGCGCACUCGCACAUCGGGUACCGGUACCAGCCCGAUGCUUUACCGGUACUCAGCAUCAAUUGGCGCAACCCGAGAGCAUGCUGUCCAAGAUUUACACUGGGGUACCGGUACUCCACUGUAUGGUACCGGUACUCAAUACUAAAAACCUGCACUUUGCGGGUUCCAAUGUCAAUACACUGCUCUCGCGUCACACCGAGUCCGUGUUGCAUCCAUUUCGCGCCAAAAUGACUCCGACUUGUCCCGACACUCUCCAGAUGUGUCGACAAGCCUCAGAUACUGAAAUCUCACUGGCAACCAACCACCAGAGAUACUACAAUUAGACUGGAAUGCUUAUAAUAGCACUAAGUCGUUGGUGCUAUUAGGUUUUCAGCCUUUGCAUGAAGAGAUGGGUAGUUUGAAUACCCCUAAAGUUGAGUAGGUGGUUGGUUGAAAAGUUGAAAAGUAUGAUCUAACGGAUGAAAAUUGCUAUUAGAAGCAUCCCAAUCGUACUCUCUCUCUCUCUCUCUCUCUCUCUCUCUCUCUCUCUCUCUCUCUCUCUCUAUAUAUAUAUAUAUAUAUAUAUAGAGUUAGACUGCUAUACUAUCAGUAGCACUGAGGCUUUCGCGCUAUCAAGCUAUUUUCGAUAAUGCAGCUUCUGAAUCGAUAAUCGGCUCCGUUAGAUAUGAUUUAUACUAUUGAAAAUAUUUAAAAACCAAAUUUCAUAUUUUUUUCAACAUUAUUUGGCUAGUAAUCAAAAUGGCUCAAAAUUGACAAUUUUGAUGACCGAUAUGACGCAUUUGUGAAUUUAAUGGUAUAAAAUAAUUCAAAUCCGAUGAAAUUUUUAUAAAAAUUUCUCUUCACUAUGUAAGAUCAAUGACUAUGAUCUUAAAUUUAAGUCUUUUAUUACAUCCCAAUCGUUCUCUCUCUCUCUCUCUCUCUCUCUCUCUCUUUGUCUCUCUCUCUCUCUCUCUAAAUGAUGUAGAAAAAUUAUGAAAUUUAGUAUUUAAAUAUUUUCAAUAGUGUAGAUCAAAUUUCACAGAAGUGAUCGUCGAUUUGGAAGCCGCACCAUUAAAAACAACUCAGUAGCACGGAGGCUUCCGUGCUACCGAUAAGCAACCGAACUCUCUCUCUGUCUCUCNAUAUAUUUACAAAUAUAUAAUCGAGCUUCGGAUUUUCGCGCUGAUCAGUUUAAAAACGCAAGUAGGAUGAGGAUGAUUUCCUUUCGGGGUGUGUUUGGUUUGGAAUAUUAUAUUCUGUCAGGAUUACUAUAUUUGGAUUAUCCAAUCUAUAGUUUGAUCGGUAAUGUAGCAUUACAAAUGGUAUAGAAUUAUUCUGAAAAUAUUAUCGAGCGGGGGUGGGUAUCUCAUAUUACUGAUUGUGGGUAAUAUUACAUGUUAUCUAAAAUUACAAGUUUACCCCUCCAAACACCUAAACUGUUUCAAUACAUUAUUUUUAAAAUUUAAAUUUAAAAUUUUAAAUUGUAAAAUUUAAUUUUAAUUUUUAAAUUUUAAAUUUUAAAUUUUAAAUUUUAAAUUUUAAGCUUUUAAUUUUUUAAAUUUCAUAUUUCAUAUUUCAAUUUUCAAUUUUCAAAUCUCAAAUCUUUUUAAACCAUAAAUUUAUAUUUUAAAUUCUAAAAUUUAAAUUUUAAAUUUAUAUUAUAUUUUAAAUUUCAAAUUUAAAUUUCAAUUCAAGUUUUAUACAAAUUAAAAUAAAAUUUAGUAAGAAAUUAUUAUUUGUAAAUAGUAAAAAAAAAUGGUCAAAUAUGACUAACGAUAAUUUUUGAAUAAAUCAUAUUUUAUUGUCAAGAUUACUUAAUUUUAUAAAAUUAAACAAACAUAGUAAUUUUAUAUAUACUGUAAUCUAGUAUUAUAUUACUGGAUUAAACAAAUGCAAUAAUACAGUAUCAAUAGUAAUCUGAUUUAGAAAUCUUAAAUAUCUGAUUAUAUCAAAAUAAUCUGUAAUGCUAUAUAACGCAAACCACUUGCGCCCUCAUGGAAAAAGGAUGAAAUCUGUUUUAAAAUGCAAGUAGGAUGAGAAUGACUGAUCUCACCUCAUGAAAAAAGGAUGCAAUUAAUUUUAUCUCUACCGACAAAAACGGAGAUGCUACUCACUUUCCUGCAACAUUUCUUCUUUCCACUCCUCAGCACUGGAUAUUGUAUUUAGGGCGCGUUUGGUUCGCACUAUGAAAGAUUAUUAGGAAUAAAAAGAUAUCCGAGAAUCUUAUUUUCAUUCAUCCUAUUACUAAGAAUAUAGCAUUCGUGUAUUUGAUUCGUACGGCCAUAUUAUUUAGUUAUGUUAUUUAAGAUUACAAAAAAAAUAUACAAUUAUUUAUUUAUUUUUUAAUUAAUUUUAGAUAAUGCUACAAAAAUUUCAACAUCUUUUUAGAAAAAAAGGAGAAAGAACAUAGGUUAAAGAGAGAAAGCAUAAUUAAAGAAAUAGAAAGAGUCGAGGUUAGAGAGAAUGAGAGAGUUGAGAUUUUAGAAAAAGAAAGAGAGAGAGAGCUUAGUAUAGAGAGAGAAAAAUAAUUGAAGUUUAGAGAGAAAAAGAUAAGUUUAGAGAGAGACAUAAGGUUAGAGUGUAAAGAAAAAUAAUACCAACUAGCCGACGAGUAGAGAGAAAGAAAGAGAUUAGACAUAUUAUGAUUAUCCCGAUCCAUUAGUAUGAGAAUACCCACCCUCUCUCAAGGGAAUGAGAUUAGUACUUUGGGAUGAAUCUCAUUUUCAAGUAAAUCUAGUAUUACCAACUAGAUUACUUAGCGCGUUUAGCCAAACACCGCCAUAUUUUUUUAUUCCUAUUGGAUUACUAGGAAUCUUAAAAAGAUAGCGCUAACCAGACGCACCCUUAAGACAAUCUCCCUAGGAAAAGAAACCCAUGAGAACGGAGAUAAAUUCCUUUUUUUCAUAUUAAAAUAAAAGAUAAUUGCCUAUAUACUCCUCAUACGUUUGAAAAUAUCCGAUUUACCCCUACUUUUUUUUCUUUCUAAAAUACCCCUUAUAUGUUCCACCGUUAUUGCAAAAUACCCCAACAGUUAUCUCUUGUUAAGUUAACUUGAAUUAAACAUGAGUUAAAUAUCUACCACAGUUAAAAAAAAUUAAAAUGUCAAUUUUGCCCUUAACUUUAGGGCAAAUAAGAAAUGUUGGUGAUGGUAGAGAGGUAUAUUAGAAAAGACCAAAAGUCAAAAUACUUUUUGUACCCCUGACUUAAUUUAAGGGCAAAUAAGAAAGUCAGUGAUGGUGGAAGGGUAUUUGAAAGGGUAAAAUAGUAAUUUUACAGAGAUAACAAAGUUAAUUAACAGAUUUUAACUAUAGGGGUAUAUUAGAAAUAGGUUGGAACGUAGAAAGAGUAUUUUCAAUAUUAGCCUUCUAAGAGGGGUAAAUCGAAAAGUCAGAAACCUUUCAGGGGUAUAUAAGUAAUUGCCCCUAAAAUAAAAUUGAGGAUGUGGAAGAGCAUACUAUUUUUUUUUUUUUUUGAGUAAUGCUAGCCCUGCAACUUUUUUUUUUUUUUGUAAAUCUAAGGACUCUAAUACUCCAAUCUUAUCAUCCCUGUCUUUUAUUACAAAAGAAAAAUUAAAUGCUGGCUGCGUUUGGUUCGGGUAGAUGUCACGCCCCGGGUUAUCACGUUUCUUGGGGCACGCUCACAAACCCGCCGUACACAUAGAAAUUUUCGAUGAAUACGAAGCGAUAGCUGUACCUGUAAUCACAUCAUAGCUACAACCAGAAGUAUAGAGUUGCUAAACAGAAACAUGUAUAUAUAAAACAUAAGGUUCAUAGUACAUACAAAAUCUCCGAAUCAACACUAACACCUCGCUCCAGCGAGUAAACCGAACAUAAAGUAUGUACAUGAACAAAAUCCACUACCUCUAACGGGUACUCCACUAGCACAACAACCAAGGGUAGGAAGAAUCUAGCUCGCGACUCCCUUCCCGCAAUCAGAAUCAGCAGCCGUAGACGAAGGCUCUACAAAAAGGGGUCAACAACUGAGUGUGAAAACUACUGCAAAAUAAAGUAGUUCUCAGUUGGUACCGCCACUGACCUCACGGUCCGCCCACUAAGUCUACAGAAAUAUGCACAAAGGAUAGUAAGGAAAGCUAGAAAGAACUUUACAGCUACAUGCAACUAUACUAUCACUAACCAACAUAAUCUAUCUGUAAAUAUAAAUAGGCAUCACAAUAACCCAAUCUCACUAGGGAUUGCAAUACGUCCGUCCCGCCCGUCUAAGCUACACCGUACACCACCGCGAGUGCGGCCGGUGGAGAGCGAGGUCCAAACUGGACUUCUACGACAUCAACGCAAAGCAAGAUAGCCAGACUCCGGAGCGGCACUGUCACGCCCCGUGCCCCGCCUAUUUGGUCGGGUUCAGGCACGCCAACAGACUGCCGAACGGACAGAGUUUUUCCUAUACGUCUUAGGCGUCGCAAUCAAUACAAUGUACGAGGUUCCAACUAGGAACACAUUCCAAUCAGAGAUUGCAUAAGGAAGUAUCAAAAACAUAAAACAACUAAGUUAUUACAACAUUCAUCUUAGGUGUAUUUUACAUCACAAUUUUCUUUUACAAUCAACUUCCAAAAUACAAUCUAGUUAACACAAUUAUUAUAAGUUUGUUUCUUUGUCUUCAAACCCCUAAGCUAGACCACCUCGGGGUACCGCUAUCUCAGUCUCGGGGGUAGGGCCGCUAUCUACGGAGCUACGUCCUUGCCUCGCGCCGCCGCGCCGCUCACGUGCGAACCUGUAACACCCCAAAACAACGUUGGGUGAGAACCAACUCCAUGGUUCCCAGUGGGUACGGCCACCCAAGGAAAAAGCUCAACCAAUAGGUCUAAUGAGGCACUACAACAGGUUAGUUCAAUAACAUAACAACAGAUAUUUACAAAUUUAUUCGAUAUUGAACUACAUGUCAUGCCUCGCGAAAUGCAAUAUGAAACCAUGCAACUAUGCAAGUAGAAUAAAUGAUUUUACUCUCUAUCAUUUUCGUUUUUUACUGCUAGCCAUUCUUUACUACUUGCAACUCUUUUUUUAUUCUUAGCUAUUCUUUAUUCUUUAGCUACAACUUACUCAUCGGCCAUCCUUUCCUAAGGUUACUCUUACCUUAGUCCUCUAUGCUACCCGACUCGGUCUUGAGUCAAUCAACUGCGGAUAAUCCGCGCUCGGUCGGCUCAAGGUGAAGGAACUCUCACAUGCACCUCAGCCUACCACAACCUGCCGCACGCUAUGACUGAGCCACCCGGCGGCGAAAUCGUCGCACAUACGCCACGACAAUGGCUCAAGUCAAGCGGUGGUAUAAUCCACAAACCGGCAUAACUAUCCGGCGGCGAAAUCGUCGCACACGCCACGUCAAUGGUUAGCCCCGGACGGCGAAAUCGUCGCACACGCCCAACACCACUUUGGGUGCUCCAAAAGCUCAGGGAUUCCGAAAUCCAUUUCAUAUAACUCGAGGGUUGGUCUUAACCCUAUAGCAUCGACCUAUCUAGGUUCAAUGUCCUUUCUACCCUAGGUCCACUUGGCUCUAGGCUUAAUGCUUUUACCACAUAACCUAGAUUUACUUUAACUCUAGGUUUAUCCCACAACCUAUCUUCUUUAACACUAGGUUCAUAUUCAUUCUUAUCCAUCCUAGGUCCAUGACACUAGGUUCAUAUCCAACCUAUGUUCAAUAACACUAGGUUCUAUGCCACACUUGUUCAACUUAUGUUCUUUACACUAGGUUUACAUGCCACACUUGUUCAACCUAUAUUCUUUA